AAAGAAUCCGUAUAAAUAGAAUAUUAUCUGCAGUCAAGAACAAACCAUGCACAUAAAUUCUCAAAGAACAAAAAAGAUAUGUUGCGCAUUGAGAUCAUCUGUAGGGACCAUGGUCUGUGAACAACUCUAUAAAUAGGGCUAUUAUUGUAUCGAGAACCACCAAAACAUCAAGCCACAUAUGAAAAGAAUGGAGGCAAAUGGUAGGCGUAAAGGCUUCAAGGGGAUGCUGAUGAUGUCCAUGUACCAAGCACCAAAGCCCUCUACAGUCCAAGUAAUUAGCAGCAAGGUAAAGCCCACUCCAUCUUCUCGGAAUGUCUCGUCUGGCUAUGUAGGAGAGGAUGAGUUCCGAAACCCUGCAGCCAAGCUGAUGCCUUCCUCUGUGAAGAAGGAAGGAGGUGACUUCAGUGUUGGAGGGGCUAUAGGUGGAAACUUUGUUAGUGAAGAUAGCGUGGAUGCGAGAGCUGCAGCUUAUAUCACCCGUGUUCGGAAGUGUUUCAAGCUCGAGUAGAUGGACUGCGAGAAGAGGAACUAUUAGUGGGUCUUAGUGCCACAAAGAUGGCCAUUUAGGGUUUAUGUUGCUGUAUUGCAGCUAUCUUAUGCUAAUUUUAUCUACGUAUCAGUUAAGUCGGGUCAAACUAUGUGAGAGUUGUCCAUUUUAUAGUUGAUCUUGUAGUUGCAUGUUACGUUAAUUAUAUUUAUAUACCAGUGAAUUAAGUUCAAAUUAUAAAGCAUAAAAUUGGUUUCAUUUUAGUUAGGCAAAUUUUGCUUUAUGGAACUAACAGAGUAUAAUUGUCAUCAUUCUGUGUCAAGCUUGGAUAGUCCAUCUUACAUAAAUGGCGCCCUGUCUCUUCCGCCACCCGUCGGCACUCGGCACUCUUUUAUUCUUAAUUACCAUGCGAACAAUGAAAUUAACCAUUUUCCAAACCGAAGGACUCGAGGCUAAGGUACUGCAAAAUCAGUGAAGAAAAUUAUCUAUCAUCUCUUCAUAUGUUAUUAAUCAAAUCUAUUAGAUUUUUUUUCUUCUUAUUAUUAAAAUUUAUAAUUUUAUCAAUGAAUAUAAUGGAGGAAUUGUCUAUUAAUCUUUGGCCACUUUGGUUAGUAGAUUGCGAUCUCAUGACAAAGAUUAGUCAAAGCAUGCUUGUCCUUGAACUCUUUUUUUCUUCUUCUUCUUGUUUUUGGAUAGAAAAGGGAGGCUACCCACCCAGAAUUUUUUGAUAUAAAAGAGAGAAGAACAACAUAGGGAGUGCGCCUUAGUAUGCCCAAGAAAUUAGAACCAAUAGACGAUGAGAUCUCAUCAAAGAGUUUGACAAUGAUGCAGAGGGAAGAAGUGAGAGGUAAAAUAGGGAGGAGAAUGACUUGGAACAUGCCUGCAGCCACCUACAAUUGGAGGAAAGAAAGAUAAAAGGACGAAAACAAAAAGACAUGCAGCUUCUCAGAUAGAAAACCACACGUUGGACGAUCGCCAUUGACGAAGAUUCUUCCCCAUAGAAACAUUCUUUUAUUCCGACCCCUCAAACCAGCCACUCGCGAACAACUUGUGCUCAGAUAAACAUUCUCCCAUCUCAGCUCAAGCAUGGCUCAAAUCUCUUCAAGCUUGGCUUGGUUCCCCAAAUGCAUACACAAACAUAACCAACAAACUCAUAGGCUUAUAUAUAUUCAGCAUGAAAUUUAACCCACUUUGGUGAUUGGACAAGAAAAUCUACUCCAAAAGACCAAACAAAAAAAUAUAUGAUGUUGAUGCAACACUACUAACUUCACUUUCAAUAUCAACUAUAUAAACCGCAAGCAGAUAUAUUUCCAAGAAAUAAAGACUAUCAUUUAGUUAUCGAAUCAUCAUCUAUUAUUUGAAAACAACCAAUUCUUAUGUAAGGAUAUGGAUGCCCGGACGACAUGGAGCAAAUUCUAAGAAGGGAUGUUCAGCAGAGUAAUGCAGUGGAUGAUCGAAUAAUCCUGAGCAUAUGACUGCCCCUGCUUCUUAGUUGAUGAGGUUUUGCAGACUACCCAUGAAGCCAUGUUUGAGCAAAGACUUCUUUGAGAAGAAGAUUGGCAACUCCACUGAGAUUCAUGGAGAUCAGGAAUUCGGGUGACCCAGGAUCGACCUACUUCCAAUACAAAAUCCAACACCCAAAUGACUUGACAUAAUCCUAGCCAAAGUCAUUUCCUCAAAGCUUAGAUCAAUAAAUUUGACUCAUUUUUGGAUAACUAUAAAUCUGACAUAUUUAAAAUAUGAGUCAGGUCUGAAUAAUAUAGAUGCAAUCUAAACCCAAACCUGAAACUAUUUUGCUGCCAGUAAUUGUCUUUACCUAAAGGGAAAAUGUAGAUGUUUAAUUUUAUGCAUAAUGGGAUGCUGAAAUUGUGAGGGCACGGUUUAUUGACCAGCCCGCACAUAACUUGGGCCCAAGGUCUGCUGGACCGGUCCGUACCAGUACGGCCUGGAACCGGUACCGGAUCAGCAUGGAAUCCGGUACCAGUAGCUUAUCGUUGGAGAACCGGUACGGGACUAGACCGAUCCGGUUCGGGCCGCCACUGGUACGCCAACCGGUACCGAUACGACGGAUCUUGCUUGGGCCUAUGGGUUGGCCCGAAGUAGCCAGCCCAAUCAUGCACGUGCACCGCACGUGACGAAUUGGGAGAGGAGGACUCCGGCCGAGAGUCUCCUUCCUCCCUGAUUCCGAUUGCGAUCGUAAUCGGAAUAGUGGAGUUCCAAGCCAAUCUGAACACCAAAAAACUCUCCCUUUGAGAUCCAUCAAAGAAUAUGGCUAGAUUUCUCGCGAUUUCAAGCUUCCUUCUCAAGAUUCUUCCUCCAAUUUCCGCUGAGAAAAGUCGCGGGAAAGCCUCACCGAACCUAAGUAUGAGUUCUUCAUCUCCUCCUCUUUCUUUCUUAGUGUUUUGGGCCUUCGUUCUCUUGGAUUUGAGCUGGCAAUCGCCGGAGCUUCAUCCUAAAUCGAGCAUCCCUAUUUCAGUCUUCUUCCACCAGGAUUAGCAACCGCCAGCUAUCGGGUUUUGCCGGGGUUGCGGCCACCUGAGGCCACCAUCGAGUAGGUAGCUAGGCCACCGCUGCUGCCACUUGUUACCAAUGAGGGAGAAGAAAGAAGAGAGACGAAGAGAAAGAUUCUUCCCACUUCUCUAUUUUCUCUCUUUCUCACUCCUCUCUUUACUUUCUCUCUCUAGAAGAUCUAUGGAACCCAAUAUCGUGUCCUAUCGACUUGAUCUACAAAUCUGAGUUGAUCCCUGAAAAGAGGCUUUGGAACUGCCUUGGUGCCCGGGCUGCCUACUAGACCGAUCAACCUGGCCCUAUUGAAUGCCCGUGAAACCUCCAUAGAUGAACCACGCUAAUUGAUCUUGGCCCUGAUUGAAUCCGAUUCAUUUAGUGAAUCGUCUAGACCUAACUCAUACAAAACACCGUACGCUCGAUCAAGUCUUCUCAAAUUAUCUUACUAAAGUUAUUAAUUAAAAAUUAAUUUUAAGGUUAAUAUUUCAAAUAGGUCUAGUGGAGUUUCCUAGCAAAGUUUAACAGUCUAAGACAAAAAAGGUAAAGAGGCCGUGCACUCCUUAUUGUUUUUCAAAUUAUCAUGUUUUUCCUCCAUAAGAUUUGCUUGUAGAAAUAUUAUGUUUUUAUUAAAAUUAUGGAUAAGCAUAUAUGCUAUGAAAAUCAUGCUUUAUUGUGAAAAAUAAUUUUAUAAAUAUUUUAAUGAAAUAGUUGUUAUAAAAUAUGAAUCUAUUCAUGCCAUUAGUAUUUUUCAUCUCUUCAUGUGUAUGUUUUAAUACAAAAAUAUAAGUAUUUUAACUUCGUGUUAUUGUGGGUUGUACUCCUCGGUAACAUGGCCAUCUCAUGCUUCGGAUAUGAGGCAUGAUAGAUAUUACCUUCUUUCCCACAAUAUAUUAGAGAUAUAAAGCAUCCCAAUCUAAAUGUUUCUCAUAUUUUAUGCCUAGAUAAUUUUAGACCCUGUUCAACUUGAAAAAUGCUUUAGUAAUAUUGGACAAGCAUAAAGAUAUAAAUUCUUUCAAGUAAAAACCACCAUUUUCUCUCUUAGAUUGCUACAUGCCAUCUUAUUUGGUUGGCCCAUCUAAGUUCUCUCAUUCAUUUCUAAAAGCACGGUGCAUUUUUCGUUCCAUUUCCCCUUACAAACCUGAUCUAACUGAACUUAAAAUGAAAGCUUAGACCUAACUGAAAUAUGGAUCAGGUCUAAAUUGUAAAAAUAGAAAUCUAAUUUCCCCUCAUGCUCCUUUCCUCCCUAUUUUAAAUGGGCCCCAUGGUUAGUUGGUGGUGUGGCAACCAGAAACUGCAAGUUUGUAUGGCUUUUUUUGAUGCCUUGUUGUUGAUGCUCCUUAGCAUAAGGGUAAACUGGAAGUAUUUGUUCAUGUAUUAAUUCAACUUGAAGUAAAGGGACUAACUUCUGAUCCACUUAGCUUUGGAGCAAACUACUCCACCCUAUAUGGAGGAAUAAGGUACUUCGAGAAAAAGUACUUCUACUAACCUUUUACAAUCUUUACUUUGUCUUUGGAAUAAUUUGGUUAUUUUUCUAGCACUUGAUGUGUUAAAGUGGAGUAAAUGGGUUAAAGGGACCUUUAUUCCAUUUAAAUCUUCUUUAAUCCUGACCUAAAUGCAUAAUACCUAUUGGCUUCUCCGCUGUUUCUCAAAAUAUCGGAUUAAUUGGUUUUUACAAUCUGUUUGGUUUCAAGUGAUUGUCAUUUUUAUGUAAUAGAAAUUUCAUAUAUUAAUUAAAGAAAACAGAGUUACACAAAUUGCUUGGGUUCGUGUUACAGAUUUUGUUAUCAUUUUCUGCAGUUCGUGAGAACGUCUAAUUUAUUUGUCUAACUAGUUACUGCAAUUGAGAGAGUAUUGUCAUACUCGUUUUGAUCGCCUGCCGCUUGAUGGCUAACUAGCCUUAGCUUAGUUGGUUGGCGCCCCUCUCAACUUUGGAGAGCCGAAGAGAUCUAGGGUUCAAAUUUUGGUGGCCGUAUUGCCACAAUAGAAAGAAGGCCAACCAUACUUAUCUCAACUAGUUGGCAUUCCUCUCCCCAUCUAAGAUGUCCAAAGCUCAGAUUAUGGUGGUGGCAACCUCAUUGUAUUUCUCAAAACUUUUUCAUCAAACUUUCCAAAGUACAUCAGUUUAUAAGUAUCAUUAAGACUCAAGCUCAAAUCUAACCUAGACUUAGUCUAGUUUCAAACUCAUAAACUUCUAGGUCAGGCAUAAAGUCCAAACAUAGACUCGUCAAUAAAAAAAAAAAAAUCAUAUUUGAGUUUGUGUUUAGCAAACUUAUAACAUAGCGCGUGCGUUGAUUCAUGUACACACUCUUCAUAUAUCUUAUAAAAUAUAUUAAUUAUACCUCGAAGCCAUGUCCUUACUGAAUUGUUUGAGUCGAUUAAGACAAUUAAACUUGUCAGAUAUUCAUACUCGUUUAGGACUAGUUCUUGGAUCUACACUCAUACUAAAUGAUGAUCUUAUGUUCCUUCAAUUAGCUGUGACAUUAACGAAAAUAUCAUUUUAUUGAGAAACACCACUAAUGUUAUUUGUGUUGGAAUUUUGUCGAAUUAUAUCAAACAGAGGAGCUUCCCUUCAAUCUUUCAAGAGGAAGAAAUAUCAGAUGUUUUAAUGCUAUCAAUCAAUGAGUGUUGCUCGGCGUGUGUAAUGCAUGUCGUAGAUAUGGGCUCAUCAGUCAAUGAAGCAAUUGGGAAUAUUGCAAUGCUCGUAAUUAAUUCAAGAAGUAUUUGAUGAAUGUUGAAGAGAAGAAACUGAGACAGAACACAUGAUACCCUUUAUAAACUCCUUGUAUACACUAGUUAUGUAGCUUAUGCACAAGCUGGGAGGGAAAGUGUUUCCUCAUUUCUUUUCUUUUUCCUUUAGUCACCAGCUUUUAUUAAAAACGAGUGUUUACAAGAGAAUGCUAUAGGGCAGAAUGUACAAAAAAAAAAGUAUGGGGAACAAAAAAAAAAAGAAAAAAGGAGGAGGCAUGUCGGAUCUCAUCUGGAAACAGUAGGAUUCAAGCUUUUAUAAGCAAGUCAACUUACUACAAAAAAAAAAAAAAAAAGCCAAUGUUGCAGUCCAACGAGCUACUCAACUUAUUGUGCAAUUUGAAUUAUAAACCUGCACUUACAACCUGAACGAUAUACGAACUCUACUUAUAAAACUCGAAACAAUCCCCACGAAAAGAGAGACGAGUAAACUUUUUUUGAUGUACAUACAAAAAUCUCUAUUUAUAUAUAUAUGUUUUGUUUUUUACUAUUGAAAAAUAUUACUAAGUUUUUUGGGUGCAACAUGUAUACUCCAUGCAUUGUACAGUGUACAUGUCGAUUGGAAGUAGGGUUCGGCUAAAAUUGGAUAUUCUAGCAAUUAGCAAUAAAUUUUCAAGUCUCGAUAAUAUCUAAUAAUUAUUCAAAGAUGUUUAUAUCAAAUAAAUUACAUAAUUUUCUUCAUUCGAUUAAUCUUAAACAUGUCAAUUUGAUCGUAUUAAUUGAUAUUAUGGUAGAAAAUUUAAAAGUUAAUUUGCAUUCUUUCCUUUUAAUAUACACAACAGCAAGGUUCGGGAGUAAUAUAAGGGCUCUUUCUAAAAUCCUUAUCGCUGUAGCUAUUAAACAAAGAGGAAUAUUAAAAAUGACCCAUACUGAGAUCUGUCCAGAGCUGGAAGAAGUGCAAAUACACAGCAAUUUCUUCAGAUUGGAGACUCAGGCUUAGUUCAUAGAAAUUGAACAAUAAUAUGUUGAAAGAAUAAUUCCUCAGAGAAUCACCAAGCUAUUUUAUCAUGCAACACCAAAUAAAACCCAAGAUCUCACACCCUCAAUCUCUAGAUAACCCCUCCUAGAAAUCUAUGCCUAGUUAAAUUGCCUAGUAUUAGAAAUCUAUCAACUUGGCAACAGAGAUGGAAAGUCUAAUACAAAUGACCUUGAUAUCCAUAUCGGAAAUCAUUUUGAUCUAAAAGAUUAAACCAUCAAUGAUGUAUAUUAGUUCUUCUAAUUUCGCAGGUUACAUAGUUGAUGUAGGACUAGAGCUCACAGAUGGCCUUCAUCUAUCUCCAUAUGGCCAAAGUUCAACUUUGACAGAGAUCAACAACAAGAUUAAAAUGGGGACAUGCAUAUAGACUUGGUCUCUCGCAUGAGGAUCUUGGUCAAUAAGACCUAUGAUUACAGAAGUACUAGCAUUGGUUAGUUGUUAGGAGUAUGGUAGUAAUUCUCAAUCUAGAUCAUGAGUAAUAAAAUUGGUGGGGGGGAGAAAAAAACACCUUUGACCAUUGUAAGAUCUAACAGUUUCAACAAUCAAAGGAAUGCAGAACUCAGUUAAGGGGUAACAGUAUCUCUACUGCCAAGAAAAAGGGAGAGUUUGGGAGGUCCCAUCUGAACCUUCUCCAUCAACAUGAAAUAUACCCUGGCAAUGAAGCUUGGCAUCAUUAGCAUCAGAAACCAAAACAGUACCCACAUGCCCAUCCUCCAUUCCUGGACAUGAGAACCCAGUUGGCGAAAUACUGUUGGAUGGCUGGGAGCGAGUACCCCGAGCAAGACCAUCAUACUGCAGACUUGAAACAAGAGGCUGACCCAUGGGAAUCCGAUCAGCUGAUGGCACAACUUGGCUUAGAUUGAUGCCUGAAUUCUGUGUUGGAGAUGACAGAAGAGAGAGAGCACAAUCAGAGUCGAGGACUUGGGUUAAACUGUUGGAGAACAUCAUGCUGCUGCUGCUCUCAGAUGGAGGAAUGGUCUUAAGAAGUGGCUGGCACACCGAAGCUGUCUCGAGCAUUGCUCUGCUGUCGAGGACUGUCUCACCAUCCUGCAAGAAAGGGAACCGCCUUCUUUCUUUGUUGUAGCUGUAGGAGGAACCAGAGAAAUGGUGUUGCCUGUUGAUGAGAUGCAGAGGGCGGUGUGGAUAAAGGGUACUCUCCUCAGUUUUGAUAAUCCCCGUCCAGUUGGGCUCUGGUGUAACAGUUGGAAAGAUAUGAGGAUACGAGAAUCUGGCGCCUGUAGACAGGAAGAUUUUAUAAGAAAACAAUAAAUUUAUCAGAGAAUAUGCAUUUAAUAGCUUUAGAGUCAAAUUAGAUGCCUAUGAUGCAGGAAAAUAUUAAUAAAGAAAGAUAUAUAGAAGAGCCAACAAGCAUUAAACUUGUAAUAUAAUUUAUAUACUGCAUAUAGCUGAGAAAACAGCAAGGAUGAGGAAGAAAGAAAUAUUGAAAAAUAUUGCCAAUGUCUUCUUUAUAUCUAUCUAGCUAUGUAUGGCGUUCAGUAUCUUUAGAAUCAGGAUUCAGGAAUUUGGAAAAUACAUUCGAUGCCAGUGCCAAUGGAAUUUGGUGGUGGCGGUGGCGGUGGCAUUGGUGUUAAGGGGGUUGGUAGCUAUGCAAACAAGAAUAAGAAUACAAGGGUCUUGGAAGCUGAAUUUUUUAAGGGAUGAUAUUUUUGAAAAUAUCAUUUUUCCAAAACAACAGAACAUAGGUUUAGACAUGACUUAGGCCAGUGGCGCUGCUUUUCUGUUCACAGAAACAGGAAAGUAGAAAGGAAAACACAAAGGGUCCUUAAUAUAUUAAAUAAUUUGCUCAUAUUUCAUGAAUAAGAUUUAAAAUAAAUGGUAAAAUUCAUAAUUUACUGAAAACUAGGCGAUUUAAUUAUUGAGGAAGAAAUUAGAGAAAAUCAUCCUGCAACAUAUUGGUAGAUAUGAAGCAUUCAGUUAGAUGAUUUAUUCUGGUUUCUAGUCGGGUGUGAUCAAGCAUGUUAUCUUAGUCUCUGAUGCCCAACUUCAAUGCUUCAUUUCAUUACAGAAUGCUGUGGCCAUAAGCCAAUGGGAUAAUUUAAGUGCCUUGUAAUUAAUUGCAGAAUCACAAAGGUGUAAAAUUUAAAAACCUUGGUGAUUUGUGAACAAGCUGCCAGAAUUUGCAGGAUCUGGCUUAGGUUUCCUUCGACGUCUAUUGUGCCCAUCAAGACGUUUUCUACAGCUUCGUUUUACCUCAUCAAAUUCCACCAGUAAAUGAAACCUGUGGGAAGAAUAAGAUUACAAGAUAAAGAUAAAGAUACUUUUAAUGAAGAAAAGGCAUGAGAAUAAUACACCAGCUAUAAUGCAAAAAGAGUGUUCAAGUGCGAGAAGGUCCUGUAGAACAAAAUCAGCCAAAUUUGUGGAAGUAAAAAAGAAGAACGACAACACUAAUACUGCUUCCACAUAUUCCAGGUUCCUUUCCCAGCUACUAAUGGUAAGGACAGUAAACAUAGAGUAUGGAGCACAAAUAAAAAGGUUUUGUGCAAGCAUGAGUGCCAAUUUAACUCAAAGAUAAAGUUCAGNNNNNNNNNNNNNNNNNNNNNNNNNNNNNNNNNNNNNNNNNNNNNNNNNNNNNNNNNNNNNNNNNNNNNNNNNNNNNNNNNNNNNNNNNNNNNNNNNNNNNNNNNNNNNNNNNNNNNNNNNNNNNNNNNNNNNNNNNNNNNNNNNNNNNNNNNNNNNNNNNNNNNNNNNNNNNNNNNNNNNNNNNNNNNNNNNNNNNNNNNNNNNNNNNNNNNNNNNNNNNNNNNNNNNNNNNNNNNNNNNNNNNNNNNNNNNNNNNNNNNNNNNNNNNNNNNNNNNNNNNNNNNNNNNNNNNNNNNNNNNNNNNNNNNNNNNNNNNNNNNNNNNNNNNNNNNNNNNNNNNNNNNNNNNNNNNNNNNNNNNNNNNNNNNNNNNNNNNNNNNNNNNNNNNNNNNNNNNNNNNNNNNNNNNNNNNNNNNNNNNNNNNNNNNNNNNNNNNNNNNNNNNNNNNNNNNNNNNNNNNNNNNNNNNNNNNNNNNNNNNNNNNNNNNNNNNNNNNNNNNNNNNNNNNNNNNNNNNNNNNNNNNNNNNNNNNNNNNNNNNNNNNNNNNNNNNNNNNNNNNNNNNNNNNNNNNNNNNNNNNNNNNNNNNNGAGAGAGAGAGAGGAAUGGAGGGUGGGAGGGAGAAUUUCGAACACUUGAUAGAAAGUUUGAGCAUUUUUGUGCAUGGUGAGGCAACAUGGUAAGAUGACAAGACUCUGUAAGCUAAUAUCCCCCGGCUGCAUUUAGGCUGUAUUUGGAUUAGGCAUAAAGUAGGCAUAAGGCUUUUUCUCUGUAAGCUAAUAUCCCCCGGCUGCAUUUAGGCUGUAUUUGGAUUAGGCAUAAGGCUUAGCCUUAUGCCUACCAAACAGGAUUUUGGAAAGGAGGCAUAAACAGAGAAAUAGGAAUGCCGGUCAAACUUGCUUAUGACAUGCAUAACUAAGAGAGUUUUCAUAAGCAAUUCCUUGGCAUGAACAUGCUUUUUCUGCCUACUUUUUAGUUUACAGAGUACAGACAAAAAGUUAUCAUUCAAAAGCAGUUCCAAAAAGUUGCCUUUUGUUAUUCACAAGUGAGAAGCCAAACAAAAAUUGAUACAACUAUUGCCAUAGGCAUAACUUUUACUUCCCAAUUUUCUUAUUCUUGAACCAUGCAGCCUCAAAGCAGGAAACUAGGGAAAAUGCAUCGUUCAACCCCAAUUGUCUUCUGAUAAACAAAACUAAUUUGAGUCCUUGGAGUCGAUUUGAAUUGCAACUCCACAUUGCUUCCUCACAAAUGAUACAUAGAUAAAGACAAUCUUUGCAUAGAUAUUUCAGUGAAUAUGACAAUAACCGAUGAAAAAUAACUUGCAUACACACACACAAAGAUACAUUCAUAUUUAUACACACACACNNNNNNNNNNNNNNNNNNNNNCACACACACAUAUAUAUAUAUAUAAUCAUUAUCUUAUUUAUAUAUAUGAGCUUGAAUGAAUUCCCUGCAGUUAACACUACAAUUAGUACCAGCAGGAAAGCAGGGAUAAGAUGGAAAGAAGGAAAGAAGUUUUCACAUGUAUGGAAACUUGGACACCUGGACAUCUUAUGACACUCCUUGAUCCUUGAAUCAACAAAGCAUAAUCAUCACUACUACAUAUCAACAUUUGGCAUUUAUUCCUAGAAGUUCUCGAAUCUAACUUAAUAUUUAGCAAAAAAUCGAACAAUUCUGUUACGUAAAAAGCAUUGGUCCAACAAAUAAUUCAUUACAUAAAAAAAAUCUGUACAUAUUUACAGACACAUCCAUGUAACAUGGACGUCUCCCUGUCUCCACUUUGAAGGUUUCAUGUCUAACUCUUUUGGGCACUUGGAUACCUGACACCCAUCCCACAUGUUCAUGUACAGUUAAGUCACAAGCAUGGGGGAGAAUCAAGGUGUUUCAAUGAAAGUUAUUACGGUUUGGGAAAAGUAGGUUUGCAAUCGAGCUCAAAGAGUACAAAACAGGAUGCAUGCAACACCAAAUGCACCACAGUAAAAUGCAUUUGGUGAUGAAGACAACCUACGAAUCACUGGUGAACUUGGGGCAACUUUGGAGAAGGAAGCCUCAAGCAGUCUAGAUUGUAGGGUAAAAUACAAUUAUAGGUUGGGGAAAAGGAUAGCAGCAAUAGAAAUUUUAUGGCGAUGUUUACUAAUGGUAAAGAAGGCCGGCUCAUGAUGUCAAUAGCAGCAAAGCAAGGCGACAAGCAAUGCACAGAGCAGCAGGGUGAAGUUACAUACAAAAAAACAUCAUAAUUCUUCAAGAGGAAAUAUGAAAGGAUGACUGGUCGCUGAUAGAGGCUACAAUAUAAAAUUGGUGUACAAGUCUUAUUACCAGUAUCAUAGAUCACUGAACCAAGUCUGAGACAAUCACAGUGCAAGAAAGCAAUGCAUGUGAAGCAAAAGUAGUUGGUCUAGACUCUAGAGUCUAGACAUUGUAUGAUUUAAAGCAAGAGAGAUAGAAGUUGGCAGUGAAAGAGUCCAAUGUUUUAAAGACUAUUAAUAGUUAAUAAUAGCAAUGCUAGAGCUUAUAAAGCCUAUUAAAGCCACCAAAUAUAACAAUCAUAGGAAAGCAAGCUACUACAGGAACAAAAUGUGAGAUGUGAAAGAAAAAGGAGAAAGAUUUAGCAAAGAAGCCAGCUGAAAGACAAUCCAGUGAUGCAGCAUUACAGAGCAAUCUCGGACAAAGAAUGUGGAACGGUUCGAGGAGAUAACUGGCCUCCUUGUACAAGCUCACAAUGCAAUAGGACAGCUUGAAUGAACUGUGAAGCAAAAUUAAGCAACUACACACUAAUGGAAAAAAAAUUGUGUGCAGAAUGUAUCAAGAUGCAAUAUAAAGAUAAAGAGAUGAAUAAGUGUGCGAAACCAAGAAGCCAAAGAAUAACGGUAACUCAAAUUAGGUUCUAAUGGCAAAAGAUAUAGAGAGCAAGAGGAAAAUGGUGAGCCUAAAUAACAGUAAAAAAAAUGAAUAAACACAAUACCGAUGCAUAAAUUGAACUUGUAAGAGGACAAAAAAUGCCACCACAAGUGUAUCACAUACAAAAUACAAAGUCAUUGGAUCAAAUUAGCCUAGACAAAGAAAUCAGUAAAGACCUUGAGAAGAGCCAAGUAUUAGUUCUGGCACUGAACAAUCCAAAAAGAAGGAAACGAGAUCACAAAAAUUUAAAAUUAGUUCUGCAAUGCCAAAUUAUCAACAUGGUUCUUCAAGAUGAGGAUGAGCUAAAAAAAAGGAGCAGAACCAAUGACGAUCUGGUUUAAGAGGAUCACGGGCCACAAAGGGCCAAAGAUGGCUCCUAGAAGACUGGGAACAAUUGUGAAAUUAUUGGUAAAUCAAAAAUUGGGUGCAAAAGGUGUGAAAGACCAAACAACAAUUUUAGCUAUGAAUUAAAGCUUAAAUGCUUAAACUAAAUUGAACGAGACCAAAAAGGGAAUGAUCAGCAAGUUUGGCAAUGCUUGAAUCAGAAAUUGGUUAUGAAAAGAUAGGAGGAGGAUCUGGACAAAACUGAAACAUAACAAUAUUAAUUCCAGCGGAGGUAUGGUGACAGAAGAUGGGCAGAAUAUGUUUUUAAGCACUAUUUACAUGCUAGAUCAGAUAAAAUCCAAUUUUAGAGAGGUUGCUUCAUUCAUCAAAAGCUAAAUACAAAAUGUCCUCAAGAUGAUGGCAUGUUGCUAGUUUCCAAAAAUGCUCUAAUAGCAAGGUCCACUGGAAGAACAUGUGCAAAAAGUGAAGCACAAUUAAUAAUUCAUCUCCAAAUUAGAGAUCCCCAAGAAAUAGGCAGCUUUUGCACACAAGGCCUGAAAUGUCCCAUUAUUAUGAGAACUCAGGCAAAAGUUUCAAAAUGAAUGAAAAUCUUAAAAAUGAAAUAAGCUAAAAUAAAUAUAGCUAAAAAGAAGUCGACUAUACUAGGAUGCCCCACAGUGGGGUGCACAUUCUUGACCUGUGCACAAACACUCAAUUGUGCAACCCUUAUGCAAGAUUAUACAUAUGUAUGUACAACCCCUAAGCCAGAAACCAGUGGAAGGUCUAUAUGAAGCAAAUAUUUCUCAUAAAGACAUCAAAUUAUUAUGAAAAACAUUCUUAGUUCUCAGUAAGAAUUUCUACAUGAUUGAUGGAUAUGCUCAUCACAGAAAAGUAUAUAAAUCAUUCAGAAAUUUCUUUGCUGAAGUCAACCACAAUCAGUGAGCAAUUUAAAGAGACUAAGAGCUUACCAGUCUAUUCUAUUCUUUGAAUAACCCCACUUAGUUCACUAACAACACGGAGCAUAGAUGGGAUGGAGAGGAAUUCGGAGUAAGAAGAUUUUCUAGAGAAAAUAUACCUGCUCAAUCUAUCAUUUGCUUUCAGACACAAAAGGAGGCAAAUGGAAGCAGUAUUUACCAGCAGUUAUAGUAGUCAAUUGCAUCUCCAGAGUUCUAAAAGGAUGUCAGACAAUAAGGAUCACAAGAAUUUAAUGUGCCCUAACAAGAAUUGGAAGAUAGCAGACUCUGUAGGUGAAGGGAAAGGAAAAUAAGCCAGGAGAAGGCUCAUGAAAAGAUUAGAGAAUGAACAGAAAACCAGACAAUAAAAAUAGAAUUGCUCAUUCUAAGAAUAAGAUAAUAUUCAUGCUAAUGGGGAAAGAAAAAAAGUUUAACGCCUUUUGUGAAUCAGAAAAUGCCGAAAUUUUAGCCUUCCAAGGGAGUAAAUGAAAUGGGCAAUAGCCAAAAAAAGGUGACAGAAGAAAGAUUUCGCACAUAUUUCCGUCAAGUAAAGAGCAAGAUCUAGAUUUGCAGGAGUAAAUGAGUGGAAAGAAAUAAAAGGAAAAGACAGAGAAGGCAGAAGCAAAGAAAAGGACUGUCUUAUAUUAGACGCUUUUGACCCAAAGAGAAACCGCUUAUCGAAGAAUUUUUUGAACAUAAUAUAUGUAAAAGUCCAUGAAAAAUAUGAUAGAACAAAAUAAAUUAUGUCAUUCAAUGCCAAGGUUUAAGAAACAAGUCAGGCCACAAGUCCAACCGGAUAAGGUAUUAAACAUAUGGAUACAACAAAAUGACAAAACAAAAUAAGAGAAACUUGAAGAUCAAUUAGAGAGACAAUAAUGUAAUGUGGUGGGUUGAUUUGUCUCUUAAAAAAGACUUGAUGGAAAAGGUUAUGUAAAAUACUACGUUCAAGUUUGGAUAAACUUGGCCUGGAUGGCUACUAUUUCACCUUUUAGAACACAUCUCAGAAGAAUCAACUAAGUGUCUUAAGUUCAGUACUAAUUGAAUCAUCAAAGGGUGGCCCCAGUUUUAUACAAAAAAGAGCCCCAAAAAAUUAAAAUCAAAUACAAACACAAGUAUAUAAAAUUGCUAAAUUGCAUGAAAUGGUUAAAUUAAGUGCAAGGGAAAAUAAAUCUGAAAGUCAAACAAAAUUUGCAAAAUUAAAAAAAAAAAAAUCACAUCCAAACCUUCUUCAGAUCAGCACCGCUGGCUGCAACUGAGAUUUCUGACACAAUCAUUUCAAAACAUAACUGUUGAAACUAAAUAGGAUCAACUUUCUUGGUAGUUCCAGACAAAAGUAAUGAAAGAAUUACAGUCAAGAACAUAAAUAUAAUUAUUUUAAAGAAUAAAAAUUUAAAUUCUGAAAAAUAGAUAGCAAUCAAAAUAAAAUUAAAUAAAUGCAUAACGAUUUAUCUUGCAUGGUUUCAUAACACAAACCACCGAUAAUAUCAGGGGCAUGGCUUUGAUGUCAAACAGUCAGAUCAUUAAUUACAACCAUACAUAACAUCCAAAAUCUUCUAUCAAUAGAUAUUUGGAGAAAUUAACCAUAACACAAACAAUUCCAAAUAUAGCAAUGCCUGCUUGUACAACAUGAAACAAUCAGCACUACGUAAGCGAGAACCAUUGUGCAACUACAAAAUUAACAAGAUUUACCGUUCUCUCCCAUGAAAGCCUGUUACAUUACCUGCUGCACUGCUGGCAGAAGCGCUGUUCUUGCCCACCUACCAUCACUACUGGGGUCUUGGAGUGGACCUCACAGACCUUAUGGCGCCGGUGAUACUCUCUACACUUGCUCAGGUCUGCUUUGCAACCAUCAACCGAGCAUGCGGCAUUCUGGCUGCCAUUGCUCGGUGCUCGAGGCCUCUUCGAUGGACCGGAGGAGGAGACCACCAUCUUCGACACCCUGGGCUGGUCUUUCCACUUAUCGGACGAUCCGAAAUCCCCCAAGCCCCCAAGCUUCAAAUCAAUGGAGCAAUCCAGCCCACUGGCCUGCCAUCUAGGGUCGCUGCUAGACCCCACGGCUGAUCCAAUGCUGGGCUCGGUGCCACGCUCCAAUUCUGCCAGAUCCCAAGGAGGCAUCUUCAAAUCCCACUCCAUGAAAGCACCUCUCCUAUUCUCCUUCUGCUCUGUUAUGCUCUCUCUCUGUUCCUCUCUUCCUUUUUGCUUUCUUUUACUAUGCGUCCUUCUACUCUGUUGUUUUCCUUCCUCUCCUGUCACCCUCUUCUCUCGCCCACUCACACCUCUCUCUAUCAAUCCCACUAUCACCAGUCCAUCACACACAACAACCACCACUAAACCUCCCCCUCCAGAAAUUCCAACGAGGACUCAACAAAAAAGGAAAACCAACACCAAUACAGCAAACUUGAGCCAAGAAACAUUGGCAAGCAAAGCUAAAGAAAAGGACUCAUAAACAAAGGCAAAAGGUCCAGAAUCCAGUUCAAAAUCCAGCGGAAAGAGACAGAAGAAUGGAACGAUUCAAGAACCAAGAUAGGAGCAACAAACCUAACUGCCAAUAUCAAGAAAUCUCAUCUUGAAAAGCCUCACACACGGCCUAAAAUUACAAGCAAGGAAUCAAAAAGCAGGCAUGGACCAACAAGAUCACAUCAACAAAAAAAAAAAAAAUACUCAUCUUGACAAUGAUAAUCCUCCUCAAAUAGUCCCGUAUUACAGAAACCUCAGAAGAUCCUCCAAGAAAAACCAAAAAAAAAAAACCAAAAGUGGAGAGAGAACUGGAGAUGAAGGAAAGGGCAAAAGCAGCAAGCAAAAAGACGAGGAACUGAAAACUACCCAGCACUUACAGGCAACUGCAGGAGGACCAACAGAAGGCUGAUUUGGUUAGGAGCUUUCCAACCAUUCAAUUCCUGACAGGGAUUCCACGGCGAACAGUAAAUGAGAAGGGAUAUAUGGCGGUGGCGUAGGUUGAUGAUUCUCACUACCCUGCCUUCCUUAUCAAUACCUCUUCAUUUGGAUUCGGUCACUGGUAUGGAGAUACUUGUGCAGCAAUUAUUGGAAAGAGUCGCAGUCAAGCUCGAUAUUAUUAUGGCUAUUAAGAGAGAGAGAAGAGGAGGAGAGAGAAGAGGAGGAAGAAGAGGAGGGGUGGGUGGGCUAAUGAGCCAAGAAGCAGCAAAUCCUUGAGUGGCAUAUGGGUUUGCUUUUAGGGCUUACCAUGGCCUUUUGUUAAUUAAAAAAUGAAAGACUGUAAUUGUGUGUGUGUGAGUGUGUGUGUGUGUGUGUGUGUGUGUGUGUGUGUGAGAGAGAGAGAGAGAGAGAGGAAAUUGGAGAGCCAGGGUGUGGUUGCUUUCAACCUUUCAAGGGUGAGAAAAGUACAAAAUGGAGAGGGAAGGUAAGGUGAAGGGGGGUAGAAGGGUUAAGCAAUCAAAAGUUUAUGCUUCAUGAUUCCUGACAUGCUUUCCUUCCCCUCUUUUUCCAUGGUGUUUUUUUUUUUUUGGGUCCAGUAAUCGAUUUCACGUUUCACAAAGAGCUGGCAAUCGGAUUAAAAAAAUUCUGGUCUUGAACCUGGCCGAUUUAUUGAACAAGUGAGCAUGUGAAACUUGAACAUGUCAUAUUUAAUGAAUAGGUUACUUGACUCAGCCUGCUUAACCUAUUUAAUAAAUUACUUAAUUUAUUAACCUAUUUAAUCUGCUAAUUUGUAUAAUUUUUGAACCUUAUUAACCUGUUUAAUAAGUACCUAAUUAUUAAACGGAUUAAAUAUGUUAAACGAGUCGGAGAGCUAAAACCUCAACCCAAUCUGAUUAUUAAAUAGUUUAAAUAAAUUGAUCUGUUUACGAUUUAGAUCUAUUUAGCCUAAAUUCAAAUCUGUUUAUUGCAGAUCGAACAUAAAUUAGAUUGACCGAUCAUGUCAUAUUUUACUAGCUCCUAUUUCCAGCUCGGGAUACGUCGAACUUCUUUCCAUACUCAUUGCCUCUCCUUCCUAAUUUUCAUAUAAGUUUUGACCAGCAGGCGAUGCUACGGUUAAUUUCAAUGCCUAGUGUGUGAGGACUCAAGAUUCCAAGGUCCAAUUCCAACAACUAUUGGAAGAGUUUAGGUGCAACCACCAAGCAGUGCGCCUACUAAACCUAUCUCUCCAUCACUUUCCUCAAGUAGGCAUGUGCCUCGUGGAACAAGGGUAUUUGCCCAUUCCCAACACACAAACCUGCCCCUACAAAAAAAAAAAAAAAAAAAAAAGAAAAGAAAGAGCGAAUCUGUGGGAAAGAUCAGGGAAGAAGAUUCCAUGCAUAUAUUUUUUUUAUGGUUUUGGGAAAUAUAAUUUCCAGAACCUUCUAGAAUCUGAAUGUAGGUCAUACAAAAUGGGACUAAAUUUGUGGAUGCGAUAUAAAGAUCCAAUAGUGGACUGGCUCACUGGUGGUGUCCAUGGCAAAGCACUUGUAGGUUUACGGCUUUGAAGGGACAAGUCAGGCUACUUCUAUGUCCGAGCUUCUUGGGCACUUGACUUCUUCCAGGGGCCACGAAGGUUGGCCGAAAAGCAAAACCCAAACUACAAGAUUAAAGAAAUGUUUUAAAUUGCUUAGAUUUUUUCCUUGUUAAGUGAGGAAAGGUUCUAACUCAUCCUUUACACCCAUCCCAUCAUUGGUUGGUUCGAAGUCUAGGUCUCUAGAAAGAUAGAUUGAGAAUGGUAGCCACGGAAUAAGGAUAUGGGCAAAAGGAACCAAGGACGAUAGCUUUAGAAAUUAAAUCUUCAUCUCUAGAACUAAAAAUUGGUGCUAAAUUGCUUAGAAUGUGAUUGCAUGACACAACAUUUGGCCGCCCUGGAGUCUAAAGCACACUUGGUCAAAAGAUGGAUGGUACUAUAUUCAAGCAGCUUGUCCCUUUUAUUCCUCUUUAAACCAAUCAUUAGGGUUCGGACUGUAUCUUUCGCCUAAUGAUUAAUCUUUUUUCGCGAUGUCAGUUAUUGGAUCGUUAUCUUGCUAGAUUUGAAAACACUCUAACCAGCUAAGGCGCGAUAUAAUCUUUGAUGUCAUAAAAGGAGGUGAAUCAUUUUUCCGGAUGGAAGGUACAAUCCAAACCCAAGGGCUCAUCUUAAUAAACAUUUUUGAGAUUUUGCUUUCUAGGUGAUAUUCUUGAAUUACUAAAUAAGUAGGCAUUGGAUAAUUUAUGAGAGCCUAUUAGGUUGGUGAUGUGGUCAGAAAGCAUGAGCGGCAUAAUAUAAUAUAAUUUUAUAACAAAACUCGGUUUGUCGUUCCACUCUCUCUCUUCUCUAUAGUCGUAAAGCCUCACAUCUUUUUCAACAAGAGAGCUUAUAGGUCAAUGAACUAUAUUUAUGUAACGCAUCAUUACAUACACAUGCAGCUAAAGAGGCCAACACUCGAAGAGAGUAAGGAUAGAAUGGACUCAGUUAUUUUGGAAUAAGAAAUCGGAUGGACGGUGUGACUAAGGAAAGUGGAAGCAGGGCAAUUUCUAUGCUUAUAAGGCUACUUUAGCUGACUUGGGAUCCUUCAUUGACUUAUUUUGCUCUAUAAAGAGUUGCAAGCCAUCAUCAUAUCAUCUCAUCACUGAGAUGAUGGUUGUCAAACACCCACUGAUCCCUAUCGCAAUGCACCAUAUUUGGUAUAAAAGUAAAAAUCACUAAGAUAAAUUGGUGGAGAGGGCAAAAGUAACAAAGAAAGUAGGUCCAAACAAAAGAGGCAAGAUAUUAGGAUUUUUCUUUGAAUAAAAGAGAAGGAAGUAUGUGAUUGAGAUUGGCUAGAUCAAAAUAAGCCAAGAUAGAGCAGCCUAGAGCUUCUCUCAGCUCAUCUGCAACCUACCUAUAUUUUCUCAUGAAGAUAUUUUAUUUUCUCACCCCCCUCUCUCUCUCCCCCCCCNNNNNNNNNNNNNNNNNNNNCCUCUCUCUCUCUCUCUCUCUCUCCUAACCUAAAAAAAAAAAUAAGAGAAAGAAAAGUCCAAAACAACUGCCCAAGAUCACAAUUCAUAAUUCAUGAGAACUUCAAAGAAAAAUCCAAAACCCAAGUCCCCUCUUUAUCCUCUCCCUCUCCCCUGAAGCAGCAAGAGUCUUCAGUGUACUUGGCAAUUAUACUUAAUUUGUUUCUGAGCACGAGUGGGACUUUCUUCCAUAUUCUAUCAGGCAAUAAGAUAGACAUAUGACUCUAUAAUGACACAUGCAAGACAACUCAUUUCAGACUUCUUGGCAUUGGCCUGAAACGAAGAGAAGAAAAAAAAAAACUAUAGAUAAAUAAAGCUUGGAGCAUCUUUGAGUUGAGUGCAAUUAAUCCCUAAACCCUAUGUGGCUGGACCACCGACAGGGUUAGCUGAACUCAGUACUGAUAGCCUACUACCCAAGGACCACAGACAAAUAAACCGCAUACAUCCCACACUUAAUUGGGAGCACCUAACUCCUAUCAAAUUCCCAUAGUGUGGUCCAAUCCUCAACAUGCAGUCCAUAGAUUCAAUCAGUAGAUAGCAAGAUCCAAUCACUAACUAAAUCCUCUAGUUGUUGGGAUUAGAUAGGACCAUUAGCACUAAUAUAUUAGAUUGGAAGGUACCAAAGGUGUUUUGCAAGAUUUUGAUAGUACUUGUUUUUAUCAUUCGAUACGUUUCGAAGCGUACUUAUAAUGCUAGCAUCAAAACAAGAAAUUGUUGUAGUAUCCCAAGCUCAAUAUUUUAAACAUAGGAAUGGAAAGUUAUUCCAAUGUUCUAAAGGCAUUUCUUGGAUCUUUAGAUGUAUUUGUUUGUGUUGUUUUAAUCAUUAUACAUGGCUUAGAUGUAUUUAUUUAUCUCCCGAGUACACAAUUCUAAACGAUGACGACAACAAAAGUAUGAAGACAUGAAGUUGUGUGGUCUCCUUUGGUUAGUUUAAGUAUACCAUGGGAAUUAUUUAGGACCACCAAUAUCACCCAUAGAUGGCAAGAUGCCAAAUGCACCUUGAAACUUACCUACUAGUGUCGUUGGCUCUUGACUCCAACUAUUCAAUCAAAUUGGGGGCCAUAGGAGUUUCUCCUCUUCUUUUUGUUCAAGGGCAGUUACUGGUUUCCAAGCUUUUGGCUCAGCUGGACACAUUACUAAAGCAAACAUCUGCCUAAUUCCUAAUCCUUGUAUUUUCAUGAUUAAUUGAAGACUGUUGUGAAAGAUUAUUACCUUGCAAGGCAACAAAUCCAUGAAUGGAGAAGGAAAAAGAAGAAGAAAAGAAAACAAAUCCAUUAAUUGCUUCAUGAUCAUGGUUUCAAUCUUCAUUUUUUAGAGAAAAAGAUAGGCUAAACUCAUGAUUAUUAGAUUAAGAUCAUGAUAUGACAGGGUACAAGAUUGCGAUGUAAAUUAUUUUGGAGUUUUUUUGGGGGGCCCUUUUCUAGCCUAUAGGAAAGCUAGUAUUGCUCCUAAAUCAUGCUCUAGUUUGGACCAUGCUACAUAGCAUUCGAGCUAUCAUGUUCAUAAUUUGUUAGUGAUGAAGCCAUCCACAUGCCAAGAAACUUGUUACAACUUUGAGUAGAAAGACUCGUAUAGUUAUAUACCUUGCCUGAAGUUUCUUAUUUAGAGCCUACUUGAAAAUUCUCUUAUAUGGUUAACUUUCUUCGAGAAUUCACUUAGUUACAAAUUCUUUUAAUUUGAUAAAUGUUUCCUUAUUACUUAUAUGAGAUAAUUAACAAGGGAAAUUGUAUCUAAAAUAAUUUCAAAUUAGGCGAUCAUCGCUCUUUCCUUUGCUCUUCAUCGUUAGGCUAGCUGCCCAAUAAACAUCAGUUGAGCCUUUUCUGAGUCUAAAUGUUAUGUAGAUUAUUUAUCUCACCUCAGGAAUCCCUCCAAUAAAUGCUAAGAUAAUCAUCAAUAUACUGAUAACAAUACAGCACAACUACAAUUCUUCUUGUAAUUGGGAAAAAAAAAGAGAAAUGCUACUUUGGCACUAUGGAAAAGAAAAAAAAAAGGAUGCCAUAGCCAAAUAAAACCCAGUUGUUUCUCAAACAAGACCAUCCUGUACUCAUAGAAGCUGAAAUAAUCAUGUGUUAUCUUUCUUAAAACUCAACAGCAACCAAACAACAUCUUCAAGGAGGAAACUUUUUGUUUCUUAAUAAUAACAUAUCCAACAUUGUAGCAGAAAUGGGCAAUAUUGCUUCGCAAAUUAAAUAUCAUAUAUUCAAAGGCUGAACUCAUUGUACAGAACAAUCAGCAGCUCCCACACAUAAAUCUAAAUGCCUCAUAAAUUGGAAAUAUAUGACAAGUUUGUUCUACAUAUCUCCGCAACCAGUAUUAUUAGCCUAUUUUGCUAAUUAAAUAUGUCCUUACUCAACACAUAUAUGUAGUUCAUAGAACAAUUCCCUUACACUACUCUCAUCUCUCAAUCAUUUCUAGGCACUUAAUCCACUGAUAAAGAUAACUUCUCCACAUUGUUUGGCAACUCAUCUGAAUCAAUCUCUGUUGGUCCAUGCUUCUCACUUCCAUAGACAGAGGCCAAUGUUUUCGAGAGAAUAAGCAAGUGGCCAUGCUUAGAUACAUACAAGAAUCAGUAACUUGAAUCCUAUGUAUAUAGAUUAUCCUUAAUUUUACUGAAAUCUUCUGCAUCAAUGCCACCAAGUAAAGAAUUUUCCCUGGGAAACCUUCACGCAUGCUUCUCACAUGCCUUGAUGAUCUGAGAUAGCAGUUACUCGGGGCUCCAUCCCGGGCCAUGAGGUUGCUCUUGGUCCAAGAAGUCCAUGCCCGGGACAAUCAUUAUAAAUGAAACAUCUUGGCAACAGCAUCAUUCCCCUCAUUGCCAUUUGUAUGGCAGGACAUGGCAGUCGGUUAAUCUGGUCAGAACUUGGUAUCUUGCCACCAGCGCAGAAGUGGCCCCUUUGCAGAUGGUGUCAUCGACAAAUCAUCGAACACUUUCGAUGCAAUGGAGGGCAGUGAGGUCACCAUGGGAUAGGAGCGGCCUUCUGCAUCAUGAGAGGAAGAAAAUUCCGUAUGGGAUCUCUCGCAAGCCGCCGUUCUCUUGUUGGAAUCCGGCGGAUGCUCGUGCUCUAGGAAACCAAAGCACAUGUACCAUAAUUCCAAUUGCAAAUAUUACGAUCGGCCUAUGAUCAAUUUAAAUGAGCCCAUGCUGCUUUGGAAAACCAAAGCAUGGGCACCGUAAUUCAAAUUGCAAACAUUACGAUCAGCCCAUGAUCAGUUUAAAUGAACCCAUGCUGCAAUGUUUCCUAAUCUUUAUGGACCACAGGUCGAACCUACUCUAAUACAAUUUGAUAACAACUUAUAUUUUAUCUAAAAAGUUAGACGGAAGAUAUUUUUUAAAUCUUUUGGUCCCAUAUAAAUAUUUAGAUCUAUCUAUUACAUAGCCAAUGUAAGACUAGAUAUACAUUUGAGUAGGAUCUGGUUGCAAUGAAAAUUAAAUUGAUAGACUCAAGCAAAAAUUUUUGAAAUGCAAGAGAUAUAUAUACAACAAGGGCCUAGCUGAGAUGGAAAAAAUAAUGAUUUUUUGUUUUAUAAAGUGUAGUGGUAAAGAAAAAUGAACAUAGUUUUCUUUCAAUAGAAGAUAAAUUUAAAAUUAAAAACAAACAUUGGCACUAAUAAAAUCAUAAAUUUGACUAGUGCAAAUAAUGGUAACCCAUCUCUCUCUUUUUUGGUUGAUUUAUAAUACAGAAUGUACAACCAUUUUCUUUAUAUUAUUUUGACUAUUUAAGCCAAAUUAAUUGUCUUAUGGUAAAUCAUGAAUGGAGAUAUCAAUGGGGCAGAUUUGGUAUGAUUAGGAAAAAAAUUGAAACCAAAAUUCACUACUGUCCUCCAAAUUUGAAAUUGAAACCAAACAGGUUUUGAAAUAACAAAUGAUAGUCACCAUCGAAAAAACUACAAAAUCAAUGUCGAAACCGAAAAACUAAAAACCGUUAAAUUUUUUAUUUAAUUUAAAUUUUUCAUAUAUAAAUAACUAAAUUAAAGAUAUCAUCCAUAAUUUUUAUAAUAUAAUUUAUACCAAUUCAUCAAAUAAAUAUAUUUAAAAAUAACAACACAACCAUUCUCAUGAAGCUAGUAAUUUAGAUUUAUACUAAAUAUAAUGGAUGUUAUAGAUAUUAUAAAAUGGGUAUGUUCCAUUUUGGGGUAGGCUUCGAGUUCAGUGUCAGAUUUGGUUUCAGGUUGGGGAUUAAUCAAAAUCGUAACCAAAAUCGAAAUCGAAAUUUUUUUCAUAUUAACAAAUUCAGUUUCGAGUUUGGUGUCAGAAUUGGUUUCAGAUUUGGCUAACAUUUUUUAGAUAAGAUUCAAAGUUAUGAUAAAUAGUAUCAGAAUGAGCCCAACUCAUGAUCCAUAUGAACUAGGAGACACUGCAGUACGAGUUCAUUUGAAUUGACCAUAGAUUGAUUGCAGUAAUUGUGAUUGGAUUUAAAUGGAUUUAAAUAAUGAAAAAUAUAAAUGGGGGUGUACUAGAGCACUCGUGCGAGUAUGUGUUUAAUUCUAUAUUAGAUAGACACUGAAUAAAUUUUAGAUAUUUAUAUAGAAUUAAAAAAUUCAAAUAAUAUUUUUUUGCUAUUUUGGAUAAAAAUUUUAGUCUCUGAUAUAGAAGGUGGCAGGGAAGUCUCUCUCAAUCCCUUGAGGGGAGCAUUCGAAAUGCUGGAAUAUCUUGCACUUGGUUUGAGAAGUCCACUCAAAGAUUUUUAAAUGCUAUUGAUUUGUUCUGACAUUCUCCAAAUGCACUUCAGUGGAGAGUGACAGGAAACUAAUCUCUUGCCAAAUAUAAAAUAUUAGCGAAUGGAAGACACUAAUCUUCCGUGUCAUGAGAGCCGGGAUUCGAGGAGGACAAGCAAAUGCCUUGAAGAAAGAUAAUGGAGCCAUGAAAACGCUAGCAGUGGGGUCUUUGGGGCUUUUGGUCGCACGACGCUGGAUUCCGAUACUUUAAAAUGAAUCUCUAUUAGGAAUGAGUGGACAACCCAUAUCAUCUAUGAUGCAUGAUUUGCAAAAUAUUGUAUAGCAUUUGAUGAUUGUCGUUAAAAAUGUAAGAAAAUAUAAAAUAUAUAAAUAAAUUUAUUUCAUUCUAUUAGCUUAAGCUUUUCGGACAAGUGAUAAUUUCAACAUACUAUCAGAGUAGAGGUCCUGAAUUUGAACCUUGUCUCCAUACUUUUUAAUCUCAUAAUUAAAAAAAUUCACAUGUUGGGCUCACCAAUUAAAGAAAAGUCCGGCCCACAUGUGAGGAGGAGUCUAAGAAUAUAUAACAUAUAUAAUAAAUCUACUUCAUUCUAUUAGUUUAAGCUUUUCGAACAAGUAGUAAUUUCAACAAGAAAAUGGACGAUUAUCAAUAGCAAUGUGUCAUGUAGGGCACAUAGGACGAUCUUAUUUGAUAGCUGUCCAUUAUAGUUAGCAUUUCCAUGCUUGGAACACACCAAACUCAUCCAAAUGACAUGACUUCAGCUAAAGUUAGUUCCUGACAGGUGAAUUCUAGUAAUUUUUGAUAUGAAAUUAUUAAUCAACUUCGAAUUUGUCUAAAAUAAAUAAAUUUGGAUUUUUUUUUGAAUAAUUAGACUGAUCCAAAAUUGGUUGAGACCAACUCAACUGUACUUGCAUCAUGCUUGGGUUUAGCCCUUCAAUCUAAUAGGUCAUCAUGGGUUGAUGUUGAAGAAAUUCUUAAAAUCUAUUUCCAAACUUUUAACUAGUGACAAUUAUGUAGCUGGAGGAAAAUAAUAUAAUUAAUGGUUAAGAGAUAAAGAAAAUCAAUAAAAUAUAAUGAAGAAAAAGGAGGAAGGAAUAAUAUUUUAGGAACGAUUUUUUCUUUCUCAAUAUUAAUUACUCAUCUUCCUUUUGCCAUUCAUUAGGAUGCCUCAUUUGAUUGUAUUCAAUUUUACUUACUAAAAUCUACAAAUAAAAUGUAAAGCACAAAUUAGAUUCAUAUGCCGUGUACGAGUCCACAUAAAAUACAUGAGUUAGAUAUAAACUUAUUCCUUUUUUCACAAUUUUAAGAGACUAAGUAUAGGUUUAGAAUUUUUUGAACCAACCAAAUCUAACCAAACCCUUUGCCAACCCUAGUUUCUUCCCCAAACUAUUAGCCACCCAUUGCCAUAGAUCCCAUUUAAAGUAUAUAUUAACUACUAUUUUUCUGUGAGAGUAGGUCCUCUUGUAUCUAUUAAGUUUGUUAGAAUCAUAUACAAUCUCAUCCAUUAUAGUAUACAUGAUCUUAAAUAUUAUACUGCUACAAAUUCUAUAUACGAUUUUGGAAUCUGGUUGUUAUAUUCAAAUUUAGCACAUGUACCAAAUUAUAAAAUUUUACUAUUGUAUUAUAAUAUAUAUGAUUCCUAGUAUCUUUACCAUAAUCAUAGAGUUUUGCUGGUAUAUUCUAUUAUAUCCAGUCUCCAAAGUCAAGGAGCUCAACUUGCAUAUAAAGCGCACCAAUACCAUGAACAUCACAAGCAAUUCAAAUAUCAUUUCCAAUACAUAUUUUUCAAUGUCAUUUUGCUAAAAGCAUAUUUAACCAGCAAAUAUAUUUUAAUAACAAAAAAAACUUCAAUUUUGGGAGGCCAAAGGGAACAAGACAGCAUCAAGUUCAGAUUGAAUAUCUAUGCUCUUCAAAAGCCAACUAAAUUGACCCAUUUAUCUAGUUGAAGCCCAGCAAUAAUCAAUUGUUCUUUAGUUAUGUGCUCAUACGUGCGUUAGAGGGAGGGAGAGUUCUGUAAAAGAAGUGAAAUGCCACAAGGUGGUAGCUCAGUAAAACUGGACCUUACUUCCAACUAAGUAGUUUCGAGUUCGAAACGCACGGACGUCAAUUAAAUUAUGGAGGCCGGAUGCUUCCUGCUCGAACACGUAGUUUGGGAGGCUUAUUGGUCCACUGAUAGUCUUGGUGGUGCUAGGUGUGACGUACUCAUAUGGAGGGUAACCGUGCCAGAGCCCAGAGGGAUAACGAGCCGGGCCCAUGGGUGAAGAGGGUAUGAGUAAAACCGGUAGGCAUGCCCAACACACGGUCAUUUAUGCCCGCAUCGAACAUUUUCCUGGCGGGAUGGGGGUCCAGUGGAGGCUGCUACGUGGGGGUAGGCUUGUCCCUUCCUCCUUCUUCUCCUUUUUCCAAAGCAAAAAAAAAAAAAAAAAUUGAAAUGGAGCACCUCACCAUUAUCCUCUCGUACUCACGAGAAAGAUGGGGGACGGUGGCAGCCCCUGAGUCAUAAUUCCAAUUCACAACCCCACGCUGCCUCGCUCCUUUGCAGAGAAAGUGAAGGUGCAUCCGAGGAAGAUUUUUUUGCUUUACACCUAAAAGUAAGAUCUCAGAGCUCUUUUUUGGGUGGCUUUUCUCUCCCUUCUUAUAAAAAUAUAAAUAGAAUCCUAUAGUUUUAUGGAUGGCCAAAAGCCAAAUCUUUAUGGGCAUGAGGUGAUGGGCAAAGGAAUUGCCGGUUCUUAGUUGAAAAGCAAACGAGGGAAAGAUGAAAAAGAAAGCACAGUGACAGCCCACUCUAGUGCUCUAUCCAAUCUUUGUUGAUUGAAAGUACCCAAUGAUGGCAUAUAAGAAUCAGUCCUCCAGAAAGACUAUCAAUUCAAGGAUACACAGGCUGCGCAUGAGUCACCAGAACAAGGAGAGGGGCACCAACAAGUGCUCAACUUGAAAAGACUUUGGUUAUGCAAUCUAGAUGUAGCUAGAACAGACCCAUUUACUAUUGGAAGAACUAUAAUAUAUAUUUAUGUCUUGCACCUCAACUCUACUUUUCUGAACCAUCUUAGUUGAGGUUUAGUUUAACCUUUUCUUCUUUAUUGGACUUGAAAUGGAUAGUAAAGACUGACUCAGCUCAAAAAAGUGUGAUCUAGGCUUGAGAUUCACAUUCAAUUCAUGGGUGUGAGGACACGGCAUAUGUUUAGUUCCACAUCGGCUAUAUACUUGAUUGAUACCACAGAAUUCCAAUAAUACUUCUGGCUAGUAUUUUUUUUAUAUGAGAUUUUAGUUGUGACAAAUAGUAUUAGAGCAGAUCUGAUUCAUAGCUUAUAUAGACUAGGAGACACUACAGCACGAGCUUAUUUUGGUUGUCUAUGAGCUGAUUGUGAUAUCUAUGAUUGGACUUGUGGUACUUAUGAAAAUUUUCACUUAAGAGAGAAGAAUGACAACAAUUGGGCUACUUUCCCAAUGGCUUCCGAAUCCACUUAUUAUUCUUGGGAAAGAAAAGGGGAAAAGAAAAAAUUGCACCAGGAACAUAAGCAUGAUGCAUUCACAUUUGGGCUAUAAGUCAUAAAGUUGCAACCCAGCUAAAUGUUUCUCAAGGGCUACGAGACAUCAUGAGUGAGUUGACCUGAAGCUCUGACGAAAAAAAAACUUGCAACCCAUCUAAUAAAAUUGGUGGCUAAUCACUGGAUCUUAAAACUCAAGUUAAUAGAAAAUGGGUCAAUAAUAUAUGCUAUAUGCUAUGGUUGAUGUACCUUCUAGUGUGCAGCUUAAACUCUACUUGUGAAGAGAUAAAUGACUCAAAACAUGGGAUGAGUCAAUAUGACAACUGGAUUUAUCAUCUCAUAAAUAAUAUAGAUUUUGCAUAAAAAAUACUUAACUUUGGUUCUUUUUUCAAAAGUAGGUUUCUGGGGCCUGAUGAUUUUGUUCUUUAAUCUAAGUACAAGAGUAGAUGGUAGUUGAAACAUAUGUUCAUUGAGUAUUGAAAAUAUAUGUAUCAAACACCUAAUAAAUGUAUAACAGAUGUCCAAUAAAUGUGUAUCACACAAUCAUUCUUAAAUCUAGGGGCAAAACCAUCUAGAGAAGUAAUCAUUUUGCCCAAAAUAAAAAAAAAGAAUCUCGCAAAAGCAAUAAUUAAGCAGAUUUUAUUUGUAAAUUCACUUAUAUAAUUAAUUUGUAGGGGAUUUGAAGUCAUGAUCCCCAAUAAACUUGAUUUUGGUACCAUACAAAACUAGCUCCUGCUAAGCUGACAGAAAAUAAAUCAGUAAGAUAUAUCAAACUUAACAAUUAUAUGAUCGAAGAAAACCAUCAAGAUUGAAGUGUGAUGCAUUUGAUGAAGGAUUGUAAAAUUCAACAAGUAUUUCUUAUUGUUCAUCAACUGGUGAAAACUAUAGAGGUUUAUCUAGUAGAUCUCUAUAUAUAAUGGGAGAGAGAGCAAGUUUGAAUUCACCCAAACCAAAAACACCUUAAAAAAUGCUAGUUUUUUUUUCAUUUUCUUAUGCAUUAAGUGCUCAUAAGUAUGUUUUUAUUGGUUUAUGUAUCGUUCGGGGGAGGCGUGGGGUGGUGGAUGUCAACAUAUUUGCCAGAAAAUCUAAAGUUUUAGGCAUUGAUUGAACAUCUUUCCAUAAUAUAGGGUCCACUUAAGACUCCACAAAUAAGCCACAAAUUGGUAAUCAUUGACAUACUUGUAUUUAUCAUUGCCAGAUAUACUCUAGAGAGAGACACCUUCAAUAAAAUAUACUACAUCAUAUUGAAGGACCAAAAACACUUAGAUUGCAGAAACAUAACCGAGAUGCCCUAUCCGAAAGAUCUAACAAGAGGUCAGCAGAUACAUUAUAUGUGAGAAGCAACAUGAAUGGUUAUCUUCAAAUAAAAUUGUUCUUAUUUAUAUAAUUAGAUAAUUUUAUAUUUAAUUUCAAGAGGUGCACUUCUUUGGUUUUUUUUCCUAGGAGCAAAAUCGAAUCUUAAGCAGUGAAUAAUAGAGUAUGGCUUGUUGGAAUCUUAAGAACGACACUCUAGAGUUUAGAUGUAAUAUUAGAACAGUCAAUUUGGUUAGGAACGGGAGAGCAAACAUGACAUCAAGAAAAGCAAUAAGCAAUAGGAUCUUUUUUUUUUUUGUGUCCAAUGGAAAGUGAGAUCCUUCCAUUCUGAAACAAAUUAUUUAACCACAUAGAUUGGUAUGGCUGGAACCAAUUAUUGACUUCGGAUUUGAGGGGACUCACUGUUCCAAGUCCGGGAAACGUGCCAAGUGUUUACGUUGGGGCGAGGUAACCCCCAUAACUUUUCAGUCACUUCGAUGUGAUUUUUUUCUUUUGUUUCAAGCUCGCACUUCUAUGACGUUGCCCAUUUGAUUAGACUAAAUCGCUUAAAAAUGAAUGAUAGAAAAUUUAAUAAUUUAAAGCAACUUUUAAUGAUUACUUAGAAAACUACGCGUAGAUGGCCGCAUAUGAACGCAUGCAAAGUGCACGGCUCUCUUUUUCCUGACAAGCAUGCACUUAAAAGCCCACACACGUCACCAAGGCAAUCAUUUUUCUUUUUUUUCUUUUUUUUUUUGUUUUCGAGGGCUGAAGAAUAUAGUUUUCCUUCUCCCUACUUGACCUACUUGUAAAGCUAAUUUGUUUGUUUUUGUUUAAUUUUUCCUUAAACACAUUGUUUGAUAUUCUCAAGAGAGUUAGGCAUCUAGUCACCAUCCAAGAGUGUUUAGAAUGAAAAAAUUUGAGUUCAAAAAGAAAUAUUUGAAGGCAUGCAUGACGAGGCCCAGAAUAAUGCGAUGCAGAUGGAUGGGAUCGUGGCGAUAGUAUAAGCGAAGACAAAAUGAAGUGCAUCAUCCAUUAUAAUGCAAAUUGGUGAUGGUAGUGCUGUAAUGCUAAUCUAAAAUGCAAGCUGUAGUGACAAGUCAUGCACAAUCUCAAAAGUAUUCAAGCAAAUGCUGGAUGAAUGAACACCAUUAAAAUUUCUUCCACCAAGUUUUGCUUGAAAAAAAAAAGGAGUAGAUGUUAGCUUCAAUAUUCAUGUAGUCUCUAAUCAAUUAGGAAGAAUUAUUUUUUAUAAUGAAUGAAUUAUACAUCAAACUAACUUUUCGACUAAUUCAUCACCAUAGAAGUAGAAUUUUCCAUCAACAAAUAAAUCUACAUCCGACACUUUCUAGUGUAUAUACCAACGCUUAUUCGCAUCAAUAGUUUUAUUUCCGAUGCUUUCUAAAGCAUUAUAAAAGCAUGUGAACGUCAAAAAUCUUUUGAAAGUAUCACUACUGACCGACCCUUAUUAGCAUUGCUGAUCAAUGAUGCUACAAUAAAACAUAUGCCGCAAUCAAACACAUACAUGUCUACACUAACUAAUAAAAAUUCUAUAAUAACACAUACCGCAAUCAAACAGAUUAUUCAAAAUAUCCAUAUUAUCAUAUAUGAUUAUUUUAUAUUAUCGAUUUACAUUUACAAUAUAUUUUUAAAAAAUAUAAAAAAUAUUAUCAGUUUACUUUUAAUUUUUUUGUAGUGAGUUUUAUGACACCAACUACCAAAACAUCCAUCAUGCGGCAUAGUAAUCUCUCAAUCAUGGAAGAAUGAAGGCCAUGUCCAUAUUUAGAGGAGCCCCCACCUUUCAUUGCAAUCAACCAUAGCAACAAAGUUAGGUGGUGGUCCGGUGAGCCCGGGGACCCAAACAAAUAAAUGAGACAAGGCUUUGUCAUGCGCCGAAGUCCCCCACUCUGAAGGGCUGCCACGUCCACGACAAGGACACCAAGCCGAAAGCACAAUUGUUACAUACGACAGGUGGAGGCCUCUCACGAACGAGACAUGUGGGGUCCAUGGUUCAUAAGUUCUCAAUAAUGGGAUCCGAAAGUCAAACUAAAUGGAAUGAGAGAGAGAGACCCCAACCUACAAGUUGUAGAAUAGAUAAUUAGCAACUUUAAUUUUUAGCAUAUCCUAAUACUCAUACUAAAUGCGAUUAAUACUUAAUAGGCAGGAUAAUAUGAUGUGAAAGCAUAUGAUAAGUUAAAGUUGCUCUUUAUUCAAGUUGCACAUAUUUAUAUAUAAAUUAAUAAUACAGCUGGUUAGAUUGCAUCUUCUAUAGUCAAUAAUAUCAGAUCUAUAUUAUAAAUUUUUUCGAUAAAUAUUUUAUUUUUUGAUUUUUAUAGGCGUAAAUCAUGUACACGAAUAUUUGUAGAACGUUAUUCCUACUCAUAAUUAAUUAAAUAUUAACAUGGUCUAUUUUUAUAGAUAGUGUAUAAGUGGGGCUCUUCUUUGUUCUACAUAAAUUUGGACCAUUAAAAUACAGGGCUUUAAUUAUGGAAACAAAUUAAAACGAAUGAAGAUUUAUCGUAUUUUGUCCAAGGCUUUAAUUUAGAUGUGGCUGCAACUUUGUUCAGCUAAUUAAUCCUAAAGCAAAGUAAGCUAUUAAUUUUUGGAUUAGAAAAGUUAGCUAUGUUUCUAGAGAUACAACUAAAGUGUUGGAUAUUCUUUUGGGUGUUCAUUUUGUAAAGCUCGCAUCAUGGUUUGAUUGUUCUUGGAUCAAAACUAAGUUCGUGUUUUUAAUAUGGCAUCAAAAUGGAGUUUGAGUCUAGUUAGGAAAAAGAAUAUUUUGUGAGAAGGGCUUCCGAGUCUGGUUAGCCUCUUUGUCAUGAUUCCAUAUAACGGGCCUCACCCGAUUUUCGGCCCAUGUUCCUAGAUAUCCAUGAUCAAUGUUGGCCCUCUCACAUUGGAUCUACCCUAUGGAUGAUUGUGAUAUAUAUUCCUUCUGAAUUGUCACAAAUUUUAUUUUCUGAUGCCUGCAGAUGUAUUUACUCUAGAUUGGUUUAAUAAAUUUAGUUUGCACAAAAAAAAGGAAUCGACCUGCGUAAAUUUGUGAGAGAGAAGGCCCAUAUGGCAACCGACAAUCUCAAUGCUUCUCUCUUGUCAGAAAAUUUGGCAUUGAGGACAAAAACUAUUCCAGUGGUGAAUAAUUACAAAAAAUAAAUAAAUAAAUAAAUAAAUAAAUAAAUAAAAAUUGUAGGAGAAGUGAUGAGGUGAAAAAUGGAAUAGAAUUAGGCAGAUUCCACGAUAUAUAAUAUUCACUUUCGUGUUGUAUUAUCCUCUAAAAGAUCUUUUUCAUACCUAUCAAUGUCUCGGCUUUGGAACCCCAUUGGUGGAUGCUUGUUUUGGUAGCCCUAAAAUUGGAGAGCUAAUUGAUAGCAUGAUUGGUUUUGCGGUAAAUAUAAGAGAAUCAAAAUGCUCAUAUUUCUUGCGUAGCAAUCUAUAUAUCCAAAAAUGAAGAUGCUAAGAUGCUUUAUCCAACAUAUUUAUAUGGAGGAAUUGCACUCCGAUAUGGGUACAUUUGAAAUUAAAUACUUGUCGACAAUCUUAUAACAAAUGGUAGGAAUCUACCACUUAGAAACAAUAUUUCAAAUAAUAGUAGUUACAAUUUUAUAACGGUUGUUAUAACAGUUUCAGGUCCUCUCCAUUACAUUAUAUAAAUAACAAUGGAGAAAACAUAACAAACAUUAUAAAAUGAUAUUUAGUAUUAUAACGGUCUGUUAUAAUAUAAAUAUUCAUUAUUUUUAUUUUGUAUUGUUUUUUUCUAAAUAAAAUUCUAUUUUCUUUCCAAUUUCAUUUUUUUUGCAACAAUUUUUUCUUUAAAAGAGAUUAUACAGCCUUUUGAAAAAAAUACAUUUUAACAAGCGAACCAGAGAAAUAGCACUACUAUUUUCCCAUUGUAGCUGGCCCUUUUUCAAAAUUAUAAUGCCAUUUAGCAUCAAUUGUUUUAAUACUGAAUAUUGAAAUAGUAUGUCUCAAGCCAAAAAAAAGCCAUUAUAAAUGUUAUAAAGGUAAACAGUAGUUUCAAUGGGCCGGGGGUCCUUUAUCAUGGUAUAACAUCAUUAUUAAAACCAUGGUUGCAAAUCAACUAUUCCUUGAACAAGUAGUUUGUCUACCCUCCUAUACCUUCAUCAUUGGCUGCUAGCCAUAAUUUGAGUUGCAUUUGAAUUCUCCAUCAACAGAAGAGAUGGAGCAAAGUAGAGAGAGCUGAGCUGAGAAACGCAGAAUGGCUGGGGAAGCUUUAGAGGUUGGACUUGAUGGCAAUGAAAGUAGAGAGGAUGAAAUGGAAGCUCAUUCUCGGAGGAGCAUUUUCCUCUCUCUCACUCACUCACUCACUGUCUCUAACUCAAACAUGCAAACAGAAGGAACAAAGAUCUGGUUCUAUCCCUUCUCAAAUAUAUGGUCAUAUUUCAAAUGUACAACAAUAAAGAUAAUAAAAAAUUUAUCAUAGCAAUUUUACUGAAAAUAAAAGUUCAGCUUGGUUUCAGGAUAUCUAGGGACAAGAAUGUCGGUCGACUAAAGAGUUACAUAUGCUAUGUAUUAAUUGAACAUAGGUGCCAUUUAAGUAAGUUGGGUGGUGCUAACUAAUACAAGUUUUCAAGUGAUAUAGCACAAAUAGAAAGCAAAGUAAUCAAAUAAUUGAACUAGAAACUAAAAAGAAAAAUAUAGAAUUAGACUAGAAGAUAAAGGCAGCUCGAAAGGAAUUAAAGGCUCACGAAGAUAACUAGUAGCUAUACCUUACUAUCAAAGUUUUCUUGUCGAUGCUUGUAAUCUACCAAUGAUCUUGAAGAAAAUUGUAAUUUGUUAGACUCCACUUCAUCACCAUCAAAUUUUCAUGGAAUCCACUUGGGUUAGCUCUAGAAUCCACCAAAGCACAAGAAGAAUCCUCCAUACAAAAGAUAGAGAUAGCAAGUGCAAUCAAAAGAAUAUAUUUUUAUCUAUUAAGAUUUGAAUACAUAGAGAGGGCAUUUAUAGUUUUUAUGGUUCCCUUUUUUAGGUAAAAUAAGGAGGCUCAAUGCAUCCAGUAAAAAAAUCAUUAACUUCUAUUAUGAGCACCCUAGCAUAGGGUUUGUUAUUUUAGACUUGUAACUAGCCUCAAAAUUAGACUAGGACUCGAAGUAUAUCAAAAAUAUUAAAACUUCGAGAACUAAUCUUGCACCUUAAGGAUGUUUCAGGAUACAAAAACUCCUAUGAUAAUUAUUACACCUUAUAUUGAACUAAUUAUAGUCUAAUUGCUGCUACACAAGCUCGUAGCUUAACAUGAUUGAAAUCUUUCUAAAACUAAGGUUUUUACUAUCAAAAAAUGAUCUAAAGAUAAGGGUAGUACCAUCGCUUUACAUACUGAUUGACCCUUACUAUUGGCUCACAGGCUUGAAUUAAAUUGGCAUUAUUGCAAUACAAAAACUAAUCUAAUGAUAAUUGUUCCGCCUUAUAUUGAACUAAUUAUAGUCUAAUUACCACUAGACAACGUCGUAGCACAACAUGAUUGAAAUCUUUCUAAAACCAAGUUUUUACUAUCAAAAAAUGAUAUAAAGAUAAGGGUAUUACCAUCGCUUUACAUAUUGGCUGACCCUUAUUAUUGGCUCACAAGCUUGAAUUAAAUUGGAAUUACUGCAAUAUUUUGACCAUUAUAACUUUCUCAUCUAAUCUUUAUUUGAGGUGAUUCAAACUACAUUUAAAAGUUAAUUUGAUACUAAUGUAAUGGAAUAGUUUGAGCUUCAAAUUCCAUCUUUGCUGAUUGUGAUAGUCAUCUUUUGGAUUGAUAUACACUAGACUAUUCCUAACACAACAUGACCUUUAUUUAUUUACUUUUACAAAAUUAAUUGAACCCAUUUAACACUUGUUAUCAAGUGUCAUCACAUAUCCUGCCUUUAUUUGGUUUUAAAAUGGUCUAGAAGCUGUUUGGGAGUCUUGUGAUGGUGAUAGGUGCAGAUCUUGCCUGCAUCACAAUACCUAGGAAUCGGUAGGGCAUACUUAAUAAGUUCCUAUUCUUUUUAGGAGCAUGUAAGUUAAGCCACAUCUUGUAAUACAUGUAGUUUGAUUGAAUUACAAAGUACUAUGUACUGCCUAAUGAAAUUUUUGGGUGACUAGUUGAUGCCUUGUAACAAAGUGUUUGUAUUUCUGACAAAUAAAAUAUAAUUAUAUGACUACAAUCAACAUGGAUUAGGUCCUUGAAAAUCUUGGGAUAACAAUCAUUCCAAAGAGCAAAGUGAUAGAUCAUGGCACAUUUAGAGAGCUAAUAAGCCACUGAGUUUGAGGAGGAAGCAUACAAAUUUGGCAUGAGCAAAGGAGGGAGAUGGAUGGCAAAUCAGUAGUAGUGAGGUUAGAGGGGAUGAGUGGAGCCAUGCACCAAUACAAAAAGAGGUGAAUAUCUUUUGGGCACAAUCUAUAACACCUAUGGAGGAGGGUAAGACUAGCAAGAAAAAUUCAGGGAGAAACUUGUAAUCCCUAUCCAACAAUGAAGAGNNNNNNNNNNNNNNNNNNNNNNNNNNNNNNNNNNNNNNNNNNNNNNNNNNNNNNNNNNNNNNNNNNNNNNNNNNNNNNNNNNNNNNNNNNNNNNNNNNNNNNNNNNNNNNNNNNNNNNNNNNNNNNNNNNNNNNNNNNNNNNNNNNNNNNNNNNNNNNNNNNNNNNNNNNNNNNNNNNNNNNNNNNNNNNNNNNNNNNNNNNNNNNNNNNNNNNNNNNNNNNNNNNNNNNNNNNNNNNNNNNNNNNNNNNNNNNNNNNNNNNNNUAUUAUAAUAAAAUACAUUACUAGUAUAAUGUAUAGUUUUAUAUUUUAGAUUAUAUGUUUUUAUAUUAUUGGUUAGAAUUGAUGUUGUAAUAACGCAUUAAUAAUAUAAUAUAUUAUAUAGUAUAUUAUUAUACUUUGAUAUGGUAAUAUAUACUAAAAUAUAUAAUGAUAUUAUAGUAUAUGAAAUUACUAAAAUGUGUAAUAUUAUUAUAGAAUAAUAUAUAAUAUUAUAAUUUCACAUUAAUUAUCAUAUCAUAGAUAUUGCUAUAUAAAAUAUAAUAUAACAAUACAAUAAUAAUGCACUCUUAAUUACUCUAACUAUUACCAUAAUAAUGAUUCUUACAUUAUAUAUUAAUAAAUUUUACAAUAUAAUAGCAUAUAGUAUAUAGAAUAUUAAUAUGUAAUAUAUAAUAUUAAAGAAAUUAAGAUCAAUAGUUGGAUAUCUAGUGGUCAAAUAUAAUGAAAAACAAACAAUCCAUUGCUUUCAUGGAGCAGCUUAUCAAAUCAUUUGCAACACUAUAUAAUCAAACAACUUCAAAUAUAUGUGCAAUUAUUAAUUACAAACAACCAGCCAAAAAUACAAAUGUAACAUUUCGACUUGUCAUUAGUCAUGUUACAAGUAACUGAAAUCGCAAGCAAUCAAACAAACACUAAGUUGGAUCGGAAAAAACUAAGUUAAGUCAUAUCAUCAAAUAUAUAUUGACCCAUUUUAGACCUAGUUAGUAGUGGCAGAGACAAGAGGAGAAUACAAUUGCCGACUCCACAUGCUCAAUGAUGCAUCCUUUGCAUCAUAUAGAGUAGUGCAUGACAAAAAAAAAAAAAAACGAACUAUGCCCAAUGAAAAAAAUGUCAUCUAUAUUUCUUUGAAUUGCCGGGCUAAAAAGUUACCCUGCAUGAUGGAAGCCAUGAGCCUCUCAACUCCACAGUCAUCUCACCUCCAUCAUAAUAUCCACAUUUAUCUAAAAUCCUCAUUGCUAUCAAUUGGAAUUUAAAAGAAGAGGAGGAAGGGGAACAAGAAGAGAAGAGGAAGAAAUCUGUCAGAGGAAAGAGUAAAAAAAAGAAGAAUAACAGUUUGUCCUUUAACACUCCUUGUAACUGUUCAUAUUCUCAAAAUUUUAUUGUUAUAAUUUGCUAUUUGUGCUUUUUGGUGUAUAUUGUCAUAUGCCAAAUGAUCCAAAGACGACAUGCUUAAUUUUAACAAAGGGCAUGAUUGAAUGAACAUGUAUAAAUCUUUUUAAUAGGCAUGAUAGACAAUAUUAUCCGUAAUUAUAAAUACCAAAAAGUAUGCAUUUGUUAUAUGUAUAUAAGAUUAGACUUUAUGUCUUAUUGUCAAUUAAUAUAGUCUAUGAUUUCACUUUCUAAGUGUUUGUUUCAAUUAAGUUGUUAUUUCAUCUAAAUUUUUAAAUAUUCUCUUUAAAAAGAUCGCAUCUUACAUAAUCCAAGUUCAAAGGGAAAAAAAACAUGUUCAAAGAAGCACUUACCAAUAACAACGCUAAUUUCGCAACCCCUCGUGCUAAUUCUCAUGGCUCCUUCACUUUUACUUAAUACAAAGGUGGAAUUAGAUACUUGAUUGAGUAGGAAAAAAAUUGAUCAAGGUCUAAUCCCUUUUUAAACGAAUCAACUUUCAAGUCCAAAUUUCAAUCAAAUCAGAGCUUACUCGGUCGGGAUUGGGUUGGAUCAUGGGUCGAUCGAACAUAAUUACAGCACCAACAAAAGUUAAAUCUUGGAUUAUAAAACAGAGGUCUUAGGGGAGUAUGCGACAACGGCAGAUCUAGCUCCAAUGCACCCACACUUCUCUCACUUCGUUUAUUAGUUCUCUUAGCUCCCCCAAUUUCCGUUAUUUAUGUUGCGGUCCCCCCAUUGACUACAGCGUAAUGAAAACUCCCUCUUAACCGAAGGAUAUAUUUCUCAUCUAUAGAAUAUUUUAUUUGUAACUUGCGGUCCUACGUAGGGGUGGCAAAAUAUGAUCCAACCCGCCAAUUCGACCCGUGUUCGACCCGCCAUAAACAGAUUUGGGUUUGGCCUAAAUAGAUUCGGGUCGUAAACAUGUCGAUCCGUUUAACCUGUUUAUUAAUUGGGUCGGAUACAGGUUUUAGAUGUCUGACCCGUUUAACCCGUUUAACUGUUGGCAGGUUAAACAGGUCUAAACUGGUUAAACGGGUUAAACAUGUUAAACAGGUCUAAACAGGUUAAACGGAUCUAAACAGGUCUAAACAGGUCGGAUUGGGCAGGUUAAACAGGUUGGGUUGGGCAGGUUAAACAGGUCCAAACAGGUUAAACGGGUCAGGUUGGGCAAACAGGUUAAACAGGUCGGGUCGGAUUGGGUAAACAGGUUACCUGUUUAUUAAACAUGUUAAACGAGUCGGGUCGGGUUAUCUGUUUAAUAAACAGGUCAGGUUCAGGUUGUAAUUUCUGACAUGUUUAAUAAACAGGUCGGGUUCAGGUUUAUGAUUUUCUGACCCGACCUGCAUGUGACCUGACCCAUUUAUGAUCCGACCCGACCCGAUUGCCACCCCUAGUCCUACGACCGUAUCUUUAAAGUGAAAAUGCCAAGAAUACCCCCAUUGAGCACCUCAUCCAGGCGAUUUUUUUUUCUAUCGAGCGUCCCAUCAAAGUAAUUCAUUUUUUUUCACUCAGUGCAGAAAAGCCAAACAAAAUAAAAUUAUUUGGUACUUGGUGGUAGACAAUUCCAAAGAAUCAUCAUGCGGCGUUCAGGUUUUUUCUUAUCCCUUGGAAACCCACCCCCUGGCCACUUUAAGGUGAAUUUCGACGGAAGCUUGCCCUCUGGGGACGAGAGUGUGGGAGUGGCAUUUGUGAUCAAAGACCACUGCUCCAGGUUGCUUGCUGUGGGGGGAUGUCAUUCCUUCGAGGAUUCAGUGUUUGGGAUGGAGCUCAGGGCUGCAUGGGAGGGGCUUUUAUAUGCGAGAUAUGUACUUGAUGCCGGUUGUAUCAUAUUGGAAGGAGACUCAGUCGUGUUGAUUGAGUACUUACGGGAGGAAGGGCAGGGGGAGGUUGAGCACCCGGUCCUAGGAGACAUAUGAUGUAUGUUGCGGGAGUGCCGUGUUGCCCAGGUCAGGCACGUCUUUCGGAAGGCGAACCAAACUGCGAAUUAGGUCACCUCAUUUGUUGCUCAUCAUUCUAGAGAUUUUCUAUAGAUCCAGCAGUCCUCUGUUCCUUCUAGUUUAUAUAGUCUUAUUAAUAGUGAUGCAGCUGGCUAUGCUCAUGCGAGAGCAGUGUGAGCAGCCGAUGUAACCAAAAAAAAAAAGAAAUCAUCAUAUGCAUCAUAGUCGAUUCUUUUAGAUGAUUGUGUAGCAAGCUCCAUCAAGAGAGCAGAAAAUAGGAGUAGAACUAAAAGGAUGCAUCAAAUGUUGAUAAAAAGUAAUACAUGGAUCCAGAAGAUUCAUUUUUUUCUCGUCAAGCAUCCCAUCCAAGUAAUUCAUAUUUUUUACUCAAUGCAGAAAAACGAAAAAAAAGUUACUUGGUGCUUGAUGGUAGACAAUUCCACAGAAUCACCGUGUGCAUCAUGGUUGAUUUCUUUAAAUGACUCUGCAGCAAACUCCAUCAAGAGAGCAAAACUAAGAGGACACAUCAAAUAUUGAUAAAAAGUAAAACAUGGAAUAGCAAAGUUAGCAGGUAUAUAUUGUUAUAAUGAACCCUGUUUUUCUUUUAAAAGGUACACAUACAUGAUCCUAGCCAAGCCAUGCUUGCUACAAACAAUGAGCCAAAGAGCUUACUAAACACUAAUUGAAAUUAAAGAUUAUAAAUGUAAUUGCAAAUACUUGAUUGCACUUUAUUUGCAUAAAUACCUCACUCUCCAUGACAUAAAUUACUCAUGCCCAACUCGAUGAAAUUGUAACAAGAUUAAGCAAAGCAAACUUCACAAAUCAAAAAAAAUUCCAUUCAAAAUAUUGUCUUUAUCUAUCUACAAGAUAAGAACAUUAUUUGUCUUUAUCUGUCAAUUACCCCACCCUACAUAAAAGAAAUAAGCUUAUUCUUUCUAUUUUUAGAUGGUGAUGAUAUUAACCGGCUUAGUUGUAGCUUUUUCUUCAUGAUACUUUAUCAGAGAUAUUAACAAUCUGACCCCUCUCCUUGGGCAUCACACUUCAUCACAUUCUUUACCAUCAUGAUGCAUGCGCACACUCAAUAUUGCACAGUACACACUUAAGAUAAUGUUUAUGUACUCACCUAAUAUAGAAUAGUAUACACUUAUAAUAGUAUGGUACAUACUUAAUAUAGAAGGGUAGAAACUUAAUAUACCAAAGUAUAUACUUAAUAUUACACAGUUACCACUAGUAUCAUAGUAAACAAUUAGUAUCCUCUAGUACACAGUUACUAGAUAGGUGUGCACACUCAAUAUACCAUAGUAUAGUUAAUAUAACAUAGUACAUAGUUAAUAUCCUCCAAUACAUAAUUACUAGAUGCGUGUGCACACUUAAUCUACCACAGUAUAUAGUUAAUAUAACAUAGUACUUAGUUAAUAUCCUUUGUAUACAGUUAUUAGAUACAUGUACACACUUAAUGUACCAUAUUAUAUAGUUAAUAUACCACAGUACAGAUAUUAAAUAUAUAUAGUAUGUAGUUAAUAACUUAAUAUACUAGUACACAUUUAAUAUAGCGCAGUACGCACUUAUACGCUACUAUAGUAUACAGCUAGUUGAUAUGUGUACACAAUUAAUAUACCAUAGUACAUAAUUAACAUACCACAAUAUACAUUUAAUAUACCACGAUACAUACUUAAUAUACCAUGGUACACAAUUAAUAUAUGUUUUGGCCAUAGAGGAAGAACCAUGGCUGUCGCCGGCAGGUGGUGGCAGCGUGGGAGGCAAAGGCAAGGUCAGUCACCAUCGGCCGCCAUCAGCCCCGACGAUCGAGCGGAGGAGGGGGGGUAGGAAAGUAUAUACACCGUCAAGUACUAUAACAAAAUACAAUACGCAUUGCCCAUUCUAGAAUGGCUAAAUUCUCUGUGAGAAGCCUAUUCUUGAUAUCGAUAACAAUGGUGUCCCCCUGCCCGAUGAUGACCAUGGGGCUUGGCGUUCUUCCAUUGAUGGUGAUUGCCAGCUUCUAAAAGCAACCAGGGGACUUUAAACUCAUGCUACCUCCUAUUUUUUAUAGGGGGUAUUGGCUUGAACAGAGCGAAAGGUGGUAAAGAUGACGAAGAGAAACAGGUGCUGCAGAGUAGCUACUAACACAACACAUCUGGACGACGCCUCCAUCUCAGGCCAAAAAAAAGAUUUUCCUCCGGCUCCAGAGCAUCGAUCAAAGGGGUUUUAAAACUAUGUCGUAAUCUGAAAAUGGGCUUGGCUUUUGUAAUUAGAUUGGAUAUGGAGGGUAUUUUCGUCGUCCUGGGAUCCUGAGUUAAAAAUAUAAAUUUAUGUGGACCGGAUGUUAUAAAACAGGUACGGGGGCGUUAAACAUUAUGUCACGGUCGAAGGAUGGACCCGCUGUUAAUUUCCUCCAUUUUUUCCCCUGUUCAUCUAACCUGAUCCCAACCUCAACAUCCAUGGCCGAGAACCCAAGAAGGAGCAGCAGCGACUCCUCCUCCUCCUCCUCCUCGGAGUUCGAGUUCUGGAUGGUUGGCAAAGAGCCGUCCAUCCCCCAGCCUCGCCUUCUCACCGCCGACGAACUCUUCGUCGACGGCGUCCUCCUCCCUCUCCACCUCCUCUCUUUCUCCCACCCCAACCCCAACUCCACCACCCAACUCCCAUCCGAACCCGAGCCCCAGACAUCACCACCUCCCCCAGACUCCUCUACUUCCACCUCCUCCUCCAAGAGAUGGAAAGAUAUCUUGAAGGCGGAGGAGAGAAAGUUGGCGGAGAGGAUGAGGAAUAAGGGGAGAAGAGACAGUAGUGCCGGUAACGCCGCGGAACUCAACAUCAACAUCUGGCCCUUCUCGAGGAGCCGCUCCGCCGGGAACGCCGGCAAUGGCACCGGGAACAGGACCAAGGUUAUGGGGGCCCGGCGCAAGGCCUGUAGCGCGCCUUGCUCCCGGAGCAACUCCCAUGGAGAGUCCUCGAAGCCGGCUGCCACCGCCACGGCCGCCAACACCACCACCCCGUCCUCCUCCUCGAGGGGGAGGUGGCCUCCCAACCCGGGCCGGGUCCGAUUCAAUGGUGGCAUCCAGCUUGGCGGGACCAGCCCGAUCUGGCAGCUUAGGAGGAACUGCAGGCCCCCGGAACCGGAGAAGAAGACCCACGGAAGCGAUGGCGGCGAUGCGAAGAAAGGAGGUGGUGGUGGUGGAGUUAGAAUGCUGAGUUUUAACAUGAACACAUGCAUCAGGUAUCGGAAUCAGGUGAUCAGUUGCAGUGGGGAGGGUAAGGAUGGGGUGGACGCCGGCGACCGGAGCGCUCGAAGCGUUCGCGUUGGAAGCCAUGCUGGUCUGUUUAAGCUUAGCGCCAUUUUCUCCAAGAAGGUGCUUUGAUGUAAAUAUAAUUGUAUAUUAUGGCUGGAUCUUGUAAAGUCUUAUGCCCUUUGUAUCUGAUGUCUGUCUCUGAAAUUCAUCUUCUAUCUUUGAUUCAAGUAGUUUGAAUUUAGAACCAUCCUUACAAGUAUUUGAGCGUUCAUGGAAGCAAUUCUUGAACGAAUGCUAUGAAAUACUGGCCAUGGUCAUGAUUCAUGGAUUCAUAGGGUAAUUGAUGGCGAGAUAUAUAUAUAUAUAUUUUUUUGUAACGGUGUUGGGAGGAAAAUAACACAAUAAGCAGGAAAAAAAAAGAAAAAGAAUAAAAAAAUAUAAUAUUUACAUAAUUCAUGAGCAAAGACGGCAUAAAAAUUUUAUCUUAGAAAACUGGAGAUUACAAAUGGCAAAGUUUUCUUUCAAAUUCUAGCUCCCGGUACAUCCGAUGUUUAGAAUACAUAAUUACUUUCAUCUUUUAAAGUUACAAAAAAUAUAUAUAAUAAAGUAAGUUAAUUUGUACAAUAAUAAAGUAAGCCAAUUCGGACUAACUUUGUUUUUGCCUGCUGCGCUGCACCUGCUUCAGAAAAAAAAGAUUUUUUUUUGCGCUUAUUUAGAACUUAUAAACUCAAGACAUAUUCAACAGAAAUGAAUCAUAUAUAUAUAUAUAUAUAUAAUGAGCUUAGCCAGAAUCUGGAUGAGGGUGUGAUUCCAAUCUAUAUCACUGAUAUCCAGUGGCCAUUUUACCAACUCAGCCAAUCAGCACCCUUAGACAGCCUCUACAUGCAUCACACCAAGUACGAAAUAUUUAAAUAAAGUAAUUAUAUGUUAAUUCUGUCUGGUUCAUUGACUUUUCUAGUCAGUAAGUACUAAUAACACAUCAUUAAGAGAUUAUAUAAUUAGGACUUUUCAAUGGCCCUUAAAGUUGGCAAACAACAGUUAAAAAAACAAAAAAGGAUCUUUUCAUUGAUGGAUCGUCCCAUUCGUUGCCCCACCGGUUCAGAAGCCUAUCGCCAAUCUGUUGCGAGUAUAGUACAAAAGCGACCGUUGUCGAAGAUGAGCUCGUAAGCAUAGUUUAACAUUUAAAAACUUUUGAAAGACACUGUUAGAGCGAAAAAAAUGUCUGCGUCCCGAUUAGACAUAUUGUCCGCUUUCGAGAAGCACGUAUGUGCUUAGUACCAUGCACGGUUCAUACAUGACAAUUUUUUCCUCAUGACUUUAUCCUUCUUAAAAGGGCCCUCUGGAAGGAAAGAGGGUGGCCUCUUCUUAUAAGGCACAAUCCUUUCCGCUACUCUUUCGAUAUGGGACUAAAGUUCCGAAUCCUCCAUCUGUCCCCCAACACUAUCCCCCAGCGGGAAGGAUUUAUGCGGGGAAGUUUCGGCAGGUCCCUUCCUCUAACACCAUCUGUUAGAGCAGAAAAGUGACUGCGUUCUGACCAGAUGUAUUUUCCGCUUUAGGGGAGCACGCACGUGCUUAACACUAUGCGCGGUUCGUACACAACAACUUUCUCCUCACGGCUUUGUCCUUCUUAAAAGAGCCCUCUCAAGGAAAAAAGAUGGCCCCUCCUUAUAAGGCAUAAUCCUUUCCGCUACUUUUUCGAUGUGGGACUAAAGUUUCGGAUCCUCCAUCCACCCUCCAACACUAUCCCCCCAAUGGGAAGGAUUUGUGCAGAAAAGUUUCGGCAGGGCCCUUUCUCUAGCGCCAUCUGUUAGAGAAGAAAAUUAUCUACGUUCCGACCAGAGGUAUUGUCCGCUUUGUAAGAGCACGCACGUGCUUAACACUGUGUGCGGUUCGUACACAACAAUUUUCUCUUCACGGCUUUGUCCUUCUUAAAAAGGUCCUUUGGAAGGAAAGGAGGUGGCCCCUCCUUAUAAGAUACAAUUCUUUCCGCUACUCUUUCGAUGUGAGACUAAAGUUUCAUAUCCUAUUCACCCCCCCCAAAAGAUACUAUAGUUUUGGAUUCUGCAUGAAAGUAUUCUUAUUUGCUUGAGGUUUGUUGUCAGAAUUGCCUUUGGGAUAAAGUAAAUCUUUUAAGACUGUUUGGUUUGGGCGGAAAAAAAAAAUACUGAGAUCUUUUUUUUAAAAGCUGAUGCACGAAUAUAUUAUGCUUGAAAAAUAAUUUUUAUAUAUUUAGUUAUUCAAAAAAAAUAUCAUAUUUUCAUAGUGCUUUAUAUUUGGCUCAGCAUCUACUUUAUUGAGAAAGUAUUGUAUAAAAAUACCUAUUAUAUCUUUAAUAAAAAAAAUAUUUUACCUCAUUCUUUCAAAAAUUUAAAGAUACUUAAAAAAUUUUAAUUUUUAGCUAGUGGAAAUUGGAUUUUUGCAUGUCCCACAUAAUUUUUUUCAUAAAAUGUAAAAAUCUUAUGUGAAAAUGUUACUUUUCUAUUUUUUUUCUUGAAAAUUCCAAUCAAGCAUAAAAUAUUUUUUUAUUUUUUUGCUGACCACACUUUUUCUCCUUCUUAUCUGGAAAACAAGUCCUUAGUAGUUUAUAUUAUAUAUAAAAAUUGAGAUUAGUUGUAUCAGCUCUUCCAACUCCACUUUCUCUCACUUGAAUUUCAUCAUAGUUCAAAAUAGAACUCUCUACUAGAAAAUUUUAUCCGGUAAGGAAUAUUUUAAAUCACAAAUCUAAAACCUAUUUUUUUCAUGAGAAGAUAGUGUUAUUCACUAAAUCAGCCCACAGAAUAAUAAAUACAACACAAUGAUGUAAAUAGGCAUUCAAGUUAGAGCAUUGUGAUUAUACCGAUAUUUUCUAAAAUGCUAAUUCCACAUAUCUUUUUAGUGGUCAUUGCUUGGUCCAAUAGUAAGCAAAUGCAAUGGUGUAGGUUCGAAAUUGUAACUAUUAUUGGUUCGUCUCUCUCAGGAUCUCGGAUUUUCAGUGGAUAAUAUCUAUUUUUUUAAAAAAAAUCUAUCAUUUAAAAAAAAAUCUUUUUGUUGAAAAAAGAUGAAAUAAAUGUGUUGAGUAAUAUCUACUCCUCCUUGGGUUUCAAAUCCAACCUAUGAAAGUGAUCUGUCUCAACUUUUCACAAAUUCAACCUUACAUGAAAACUUUGAAUCAUUUUGGCAUCUCCCAAUUCAAGGACAGAGCAUUAAGUUACAAGCUAGUGUCUCAUCAAUGCUACUUAUUAACUUUUGCUUCUUUUGGAGGUGGUUAAGAUAUUAAUUAUAUGUGGAUCCUUGCCGUUACAUUUUUGGUUCCACGUUAUACAUUUCACACAUCUCGAAUGCUUAUACAGGACAGAACCAAAAGAUCCAAAUAAUAUCUUCCAACCAGAUUCUUUUAAAGUAAAGUCAUAAGUUGUGACAAAAUUAUAUCAGAAUGGUCUAUAUGGGCUAAAAAAUACUACAACACAGAUUUAUAGAGUCAGACAUUAGAUUUAAAUAGAUCUAGACUAUUAGUCUGACAAUGCUAGGAUUUAAACGAGAGAAGCAUAUAAGAAUCCAUGCAGGCGUAUUGAUAUAUUUUAAGUGUUUACACAAAGUUCAAAAAAAAUAAUCUAAAUAAUAUUUUUUAGACUGGCUUUUUAAGAGCAAGGUCAUUACUUUGAGAUAGAUGCAAGUGAUUUUAUUUAUCCACAUAUAUAGCUUGCAUGUAUUUGGGGGAAUAGCAGAUGCGUGCAUGGGGGAAUAGCGACAAGAGACCGUACUUAGGCCCGACGUUGCCUCCACGUGCUCACCGAUCUAACCGUCCGAUCAACAGCGCCACCUCAUAGACUGCCCUUCCUUGGACGUUAUGUGGGAACAAAUGUCCUUGAUCUGACAGCGAUCCAUGUCCUAGAGUCACAGGUUUGCUGUUCUCUCCUCAACAGCAAGCAUCCAGACCACGUAAUCAUAGCCGUCGAUCAACCGAGGACUAUCUUUGGGUGCAAUGCUGCGGAACAGGAAACCUCUCGAGUUUUGCAAUGUUGGUAGAUUUCAGAGUUUUACAAGGAACGUCCACUUCAGAACUACCAUGGAGUGAUACUUUUCAGAUGCUGAAUUGUGAUUGGAAGGAAGAUUUACAUGGUGAUGAGGGGUUUUAUUUCGUAAAAUUUUUGAUGUUUUGUUGUUGGAAGGUAAUGCUAUGGAGCUCUCAUCAUCUCUUACCAUACGUCAUUAUGGGAUUGAUGUCUCUAGUAGGAUUACAUAGAGAUUAAAUGACUAUUAGAUUACUAAAUCUGUAUUUGUGGAUCCGAUGUUCUUGGAUACAUAAUGGGUUCUAGAAGUAUCUUCAAUGUUGAAGUAGGGAUUCAAGUUUAUAUGCAUAUAUUAUACCUACAACGGAUGAUUCCUAUAUUUUUAGUAUGAAUACAGAAUACAUCAAAAAAAAAGGUCAAAAAACAACAAGUUUUAGAGUGCUCUCAGCAACUCUUGCUCCCCAACCCAUGUAUAGGGCCCCCAGAGUGAUCGGCCACAAACGAGACUACCCAAUCCAUGGCCCCGUUAGUCUCUCUAUAAACAUGCUUGGGCUGAAAAGCCACAUCGCCACUAACUAUGGUCCGAAUGUCUUGGAGCAAGGAAUUACACUCAUCCAUGCUGCCGAUGCUCCUUGGAUCCAACCGAUCAUCGUAGCCGAAUCACCUAGUUUAAAUAUAUACUUCAAAAAUUAUUUUUGUUUAUACUAUAAUAUGGAAAGAAAGAAUUGAAAUGAGAAAUAGAUUAGGAUAUAAUUCUGACUUUCUAGUUCUAGCUAUUAGUAAAAAAAACAUUUUACAGAAAAAUCCACUUUAUUUUAUUUUUACAAAUAUAAAAGACAUUUUUCCAUAAUUAGUUAUCUUUAAACUAUAUUGGACAAUUUUAUAUCCUUGCCAUUAAUAACUGCAUAUUCUUAGUGACUGGUAGAGCGGAAAAUCAACCAUUGUGUGUGUGUUUGUAUAUGCAUAAAAAUAUAACGAUAAAAAAAAAACCAAAAACAAAAAACAAAACAGUGCUGCCAAGCUGGCCUUGGGCCGGCCCAGGCACAAUGCAAGAGCCCAAAUCCAACUCCUUUUGUUAAUGGCCGAGUUGGUGAACAACUAAAACACCCAAUUAACCCUUCUCCAAAUCAAUAGUUGAGAUCUAAAAUCCAUAACUUGUUGGAAUCUGACUAUUUAGCUAAUCAUAUCCCUCAAAGAUUAUGAGGGAUUGAACAUAAUACUGCGAUGGAAAAAACAGUCGUGUGUGAGUAGUCUCACGACAAAUGCAUGAAUUUUAUUGUCUCGUUGGAGUGCAUCUUCAAAUGGAAAAAAAAAAGAGAGGAAGCAAUUAAUUGUCACUAGGCCAAAUAUUAAUUUAAGUAUGUAUUAUAUACAAACUGAAUAAAUUCUAGUCUUAAUGUUAUUUCCAUAUCAGGGAAUGAAUGCCAACAUAAUGAUAGUUGAUCUUGUGACUGCUUGGAAUAUUAUGGUUAAUAUAUUGGGUCUAUUUCCACCAGAAAAUCCUAGUUUUGGUGGAAGCUGAGUGUAAAUCGUCUCCCAUUACAAUAUUGGAUCUAAUUAUUGAAGGAAAAGUCUACUUACAAUGCAUCCAUGCGUUAAAAUAUUUACAGAAGAAGAAAAGAAUAAGAGAAAAAGAGAGAGAGAAAACUAAUUUUAUUUCUCUAUUCCAUCAUAUUCGGUACAUCUCAAGAUUAUAUAUGCUCGUAUACAGACUCCACACAAGAAAAAUAACAUAGGCUGAUAUAAGAUCAUACUAAUAAAGAAAAAUAAUACUCACUGAUAUAAAUCGUUAUGUGAUCCCUAAAAUCACUCUAACAAGAUUAUGCUAACAAAGAAAAAUAAUAUCCUGCUAAUUAAGAAAAAUAAUAUGGACUGAUACAGAUUGUCAUGUGAUCCCUAAAAUUAUGCUAACACCGUGGAUAUCUGAAAUAAUGACACCCAAUAACUUUCCACACAUAGGGUCUCUCUUUAACAAGGAAAUAAUUUCCAUGGGAGUGACAUUUAAACCAUUUGCGAGGGUGCAACAACCGAGUAGGCGAUUUUAGAGCUUUAUGUUGCUUCUUUGAAACACAGUUGGUUAGUUCAAAGCCAUGGACAAUGCCUAGGUGGCAGCAUUCAUUCACCUUUGUUCAUGGCUACAUGCCUUCACAUUAAAAGAUAUAAAACAAAAAAAAUUCUGCACACAUUAGAUCCUCUAAUCUUCUAUAUUUGCAGAUUGAUUCAUCCUGUUUAUAUUUGUAUAUAUAUAUUAAUCCUUGCAAUCUGCAUCGUUGUGCAUAUAAGUUCUUCUACUUGUAAGUCUUAAUCUAUCCGUGCAUGGUUAAAGGUUACUACGUACAGUUGGGGAAAAAAAAACUAAAAAGCCCUUGAAGUAGGUUGAAGUAAAGAGAGAUUGGGAACUCCAUAUAGACUACUACAGUUCUAGAUGUGGUUUUCACAACACCGGCAAGCUCGUAAUCUCUAGGUCUAAGGAUCGAGGAUUGGUUCUUGACAAGGAGGGUGGUGAGAUCAAACAUGCUUUGAAGCUGAACUCAUAAACAAGCUGUAGUGCUUAAACAUUUUACAUUUAUAAAAAUGAAUGGAAUCAAAGCUUGGCUUAACUACUCGUUCAAAGUGAACUCAAAUAUAUCACAAACGAACCAAGCUUGCAAUUAUAUUAUCAAACUCAAUUUAAGCUAUUUGUUAAGUUGAGCAUGAACAAGGGCUCAUAUGCAUCUAGCAGGUCCACCAAAAUUAGAGCAGUCUAUCUAAAGGACCCGGAUUGGGAGUCUAAAGGAUGGUAGUAUCAUCAAAAGGUGAAGUUGUAAUUCUACAAUAAGUUCUAGAACGGCCUACCGUCAUGUUUACCAUUUCAGAAACACAAUACAUUCUUCUUCUUCUUUUUUUUUUUUUGUAUAGAACGGAUAUAUUAUAUAGUUCUAGUAUGAGUACAUUCAAAAAAAAAAAUCAGAAAAUAGAAGAUGAUAUAAGGUGAGAAGGAGAAGUCACAUAGCUAUAUAACGUAGAGAAUGCCACCGGAUUGUUGCGCAAUAUAAGAGGCGAUCUAAUCAGCUGGCCUAUUUGCCAUUCGAUAUAUAUAAAUAAUUUAGAAAGCACUGCAGUCCCUCGUCAACCUGUUGAUAUCCUGCAGCAGCGUACGCUAUGUUCCAUAGCUAGCAGAAAAUGAGAUAACAGGUCAGCAAAAGAAGCCGUUCAAGAAACUCCUCUCUAACUUUUUCGGAGCUGCCAACUGCGUCAGGACUUCGUAAGUCUUUGGCUCAUUAUUAAGAGAAUUUUGCAGCCAUUCGAAAAAGCAAUGGUUUUUGUGAGCACUUGGUCAAUUAUUCAGAUCAAAGCCAUGAGACCAACCUAUACAACUAAGCCAUGAGACCAAUUCAGCUUCUUGCCUGGUGCUAAAUAACCAAAUAUCGGUCACCACAGACAUCUGCAUCUAUUCAUAUUUCGAAUGAAACCUCUUGGUUGGCAGAUAAGACCACUAAAUCAUACAUCUUCUCUUUCUUUUGUCUCCCUGGAAGACAGGGAGGAUCACCUCUUUUUUGCCCUAGAAGAAUUGCAACCAGAAAGAAUCAGCAGGGACAAAACUAGCUAGUGUGCUUAGCUGAUGAUUCCCUUGUAUAUAUCAUCAAUCUUCUGGCUGAUUCCCUUUUUCUAUGCUUGUGUCUUGCUUUAAUUGAAGGCUUGGAUGGAAACUGCCAUGGUAUAGAAAUAUCAAACAGGAGAUGGUGGGUCGUCUCUGCAGUUCAUGAGUCCAUAUUUCGUACUCCCUUCAAAGUUAUGGAGGUCAGCAAAUCGGCUGGGUUUGUCAAUGCCUUGUGCUGCUUGUUUACUUCUGCAAUAUUUAUAGUUUAACUCAGCAAAAAUUUAAGAAAAAGGAAAUGCAGGCUCUGUGCAGCUUAUAAAUUUCUGAUAUUGUGGCAUAGGUGGGAGGAAAAAAAAACAAAUGAGCAAAGACGUAUCAAAGAUAUUGUCUUAAAAACAAUGUUUCCUCACUAAGAUCGUAAUCCAAAAUUUGCAGGCUGCUAUUUGGAAAAUCUGCUUUUAGGAUACAAUGCCCGAUUCUAAUCGCCUUCCUCUAAGUCUGCGUUCUCAAAGAAAGAUAAGCUAAUUUGAACCUUAUGAUAGUCAAAAAAAGAAAAGAAAAAAAAAUAUAGUAGAACAAGAAAGAAAAGAUACUGUUAAUUUUUCUUAUUUUACCAGAUUUAUAUAACAACUCAAGAGACAUCGUCCUUCGUGAUGACACGUCUUUUUGGUGGAGAGAGUCGACUUAGACAAAUCAAAAUUCUUUAAAGAUUGUUGAGCAUGGAAGUGCAUCCUAUUUGACCCUUUUCAUGCACGUCAGGCUCUGGCUCUAGUCUCCUCGCUACAAUAAAAUAUAAUUUUAACAAAUAAAAAUUAUCAUUAGAAAUUUCGGUAAUGAGAUUUUGAUCAUCAAGAUCAUUAUGUAUGUCCAUCCCUAGAAUUUGCGUGAUGAUAAAAUAAAUACUGUCACUAAAAUCUAAAGGUUUUCUUGAUGACAUUAAACGUGUCACAAAAAAAUCUUAUUUGUGAGCAAAUGUGCUAUUAUAGAAAAUAGGAUUUUUUACAUGGAUACCGUUCUAAAUAUCUGAUUUUACAUGAAUAUCCUAACAAAAUUGAUAUUUGUAUGUAUACCCUCGUAAAACUCUGUUAUUGUACAAAUGCCCGUAAUAUAACGGUUGUUCUAACGGUGUUAAGAAAAUUUAUAUUUAUAUUAAUUAAAAAUAAAAUAAAAUUCUAAAAUUUUGCUGUUGUCUCUAUCUUCUUUUUCCGCUAUCAGAAUCGCGAUUUAUUUGCAUGUCUACCCAUUAAGAAUAUUUUAGCCAUUUUAACUUGAAACCGUUAAUUUUUUAGCGUCGUUAGAUAGCAUAGGUACAUAUGCAAAAACAAAAAUUAAAAAAAAAGUUAUAUAUGCAAAUAUCAAUUUUAAAAGAGUAUUCAUGCAAAAUUCAAUAUUUAGGAGGGCAUUCAUGUAAGUUAGAAAAUAUUAUCAUAAUUUCAGUCCGGUAGACUCAAUCCGAGUUUGAGGUGGCCCAGCCGGGACGGCCGGUUUUUUUGUGACCCGGACCAGUCCACGGCAAAAUAAACCUCGACAAUUAAAUGCCUUCAACCAUCUCUACGUCCGUCUCCAUAGAAACUGAAACCCUUCUAGAAGCCACGUGGAGUAGAUUCAACAUUCGCAUUGGAUGUCAGCGUAACUUUUCAUGCACGUAAAGUCACAAGCUCUUGUCUCCUAGAGUAAUUAUAGGGAGAAUGGCCAUGGAACAUAUAUAGGUUUGUACGUCUGUAAUGAGCCCGGGAAGUCUCAAGUUGGGGAGGUUUUCUCAUAAUAAAAAGAUGGUUUCAUGGGUACUUUGACCAAAAAAGAAUUGGACCACACACAUGGUGAUAGCUUGCUCUUAGUGUUAAUAGAACUAGUCAGAUGGGUGCUGGUCGUUCGGUGGGCCUUUUGCUAUAAAGACAAUGUUAGAGUGGGCAUUGACAUAUUAGGCUUCAUGCUGGCAAAAUUGGUUGGUAAUUGGCAACUAUUCUUAAUGGUGUGGUUGGUUUUGUUAUUCGUGGUCCGAGUACAGUCUUAUUGGCAGUCGGAUCUUGUCAUCUCUACGAUCUCAUGGUUCUGUCGGUAGAGUUGAGAGGAGCAUGGGAAGAUUGAGUAGUUGUUAUCGCAGUCCUCAAAGCACCCAUCGUUGUGUUAGAGGGGGAUUCUAAAACUGUGAUUAAUUGGAUAUUCAGCUUGAUUUAUAUGGGUAAUGCCCCUCUUCCCAUGGUGGACCAAGAGCGAUGAUUUCUACAUUGGAAUCAUUCGAGGCAAUUCAUGUAUAUAGAAGGCAAUAGUGCAGCAGAUUGGAUUGCUUCAUAUAGGGCACCUCAUUUGGGAUCAGUGUUUUGGAGAUCUGGUACAUUGGUGCCUGCUCAACCAGCUUCAUAAUACGCUAUUUUUGGAUAGAAUAUUUAGUUGGGCCAUGAAUAGGCCAACAAAAGAGAUGAGUUAGGUUUGGUAGAGAAGCAAUAUCAUACCAUCUUCAUCCAUUAUGAGAAUGAAUUCAAAUUUCAUUUAUAUAUAUAGAUGCUCGUGCCCUCUUGCAUCGAGAAUAAAAGCAUUCAAAAAAUUUAGAAUUGGAUCGAUCAUUCGUACAAAAAAAUGUUAACAAAAAAGAACAUCGUGAACGUGUAAAACCCUCGAUUUAAAGUUCCUUCAAAAAAUAUAAGUAGUGUUGAUAUAUAUAAGAAAAAAGGUUAAGGUUGCGGCAGUAUACCCGUCAUUUUGGGCUCCAAAAGGUAUUGCAGUACGUUAGCUGGUAAUCAUAUAUCUAUAUAAUUCCAAGAAAAAAGUUGCGAGCAUAGGAAUGAGACAUGCAUUGCCAUUAAUUAUAAUGUCAUUUGGCUUCCAUUUGGAUCAGUAACAACUAUGUUUCAACUAUGUUUUGUAGGCCAUGAUAGAUGCCAGCAAGCUAACGGUCAUAUAACUAUACCUGCAAUCUCUUGUAGUGUAGCAUAUAAGCAAAACAUGCAUGAUAUACAUAUUAGAGAGAGGUUCGGCCUCCUUAAUUAUUUCAAUUUUUGAUUUAUGUCAACCUUGGUAACUCCGAUACUAGAACUCAACAUGCAUGAUAUACAUGUUGGAGAGAGGUUCGGUCUCCUUAUAUUUUUACCAUGUAUUAUCAAUAUACAUCUAACAUUUCUCUUAUUUGUCAGUAGCUAAUACUCUUUCUUGAUAUGGGGUCCUAGUUACGUGGCCCAACCAUAAGGGAAGGGAAAAAAGCAAAAGAAAGGAAGAAAAUGAAGUGGAGGGUGGCUAAAAAAUAGAGCUUUACCGACUAAAAUAGAAGAAUAUAAACAGUCAAUCAAUUAUCAAUUUGCUCUUUUUUUUAACUAACAAUAUCUAUUUAUUUUUAAGCAAAUUACAUGCAUCUUUUUCUCUUCAAUCUUUUUUUUUGGUAACCCCAUUCAAUCAUUCAAAUACAACCAGAAGUUAUGUUGACUCUCAAACUAAUGAAAUGCGUGAAGCAACAUCCCCCUUUCCCCCAUUCCAAGGAGUUAUCCCUCUUCCCAAAAAUCAAGUAGCACCCAUAAAUCCAUUAACUAAUCCAUUCAAUUGCCAUUAAUGAACCUGAGAGAAUAAUGAAUGAAGGGGCAAGGAAGAAGGAAUUACCGCCCUCGUAUGUCUAUCCAAAUUACUGUUUUACCAUCGUGGCGUGGCUUAACAAAAUGACCAAAACACCCUCCAUUCAUUAAAUUUAUCUCGUGAUAUCUCGAUCACAGCCACACAAUUGCAAAUCAACUUUAUUCCUACUCCGCGGUUCAUCAGAUGCCUCCUCCCCGUUUCUAUUUCUUCUCUAUCCUCCUUUUCAGACUUGUUUUGCACUCUUGAUUUAUUUUUACUGCUGUAAUUUUAGUUUCCUUGGACGAAAUCAAUAUUCUGAUAUUCUUUGAAGAUUUGAGGGCUAAUUUCGCCAUUGUGAUGCUUCAGAAACGGUGAGAAGAACUUUCGGCGGCUGAUAUAUCGAGGAAGGAAUGAGAGCGGAAAAGCACGGGGAUCGCAGCGCCAACGUGAUUCGAGCCGGCCCGAACCGUAGAGUACGGACUCGCCUUUCUUCCACCCGCCGGCCCGAGCCGGUCCCCUACAUCGCCGGGCAGCCAAAGACGUUGACGCCCGCCUUCUCUCUCCACAUGCAUAUUCGUAGAGAAAGAAAAUAGCUUUUCAGUAGAAAUAAAAUUUUUAUAUUUUAUAAAAAAAUUUAUAAUUUUUUUAAAAAAUAUUUUUAAAUGAAUAAAAUGAAAUAAAUUUUUUUUAUUAAGAGCAUAAUAAAUUUUACUAUUCAAAAUUUGACAAUAAUAGAUUAUGAUAAACUUUGUAUAAACAAAAUUGGUCCAAUCACACGUCUAUUUCAAUUUUCAAAUACUAGUUUUAUGAUUUACAUUUGUAUUAAUGUGUAACAGAAUGGCCUCUUCUAAACAAUCAUGUUCAUGACCCUUACAACAUUGAAAAAAAAAAAAGAAAAGAAAAAAUUUAUAAUCUGGAACUUGAAAUUCUUUCUUUUUAAAAGGCUUUUUUCUUUUUUUUUUUUCCGAGAGAGAGAGAGAUUCAGGAAGGAAUGAGGAAAGAUUUGAAAUGAGGCUGGCUCAUUAAUCGAGAUUUAAAAGAUGGCGGCAUACUUAUUGCACCUGGCACUAAGAACUCGAGCUCCAUCUGGUGGACCCUGCAGGGACUCGGGCGUGAUGUCGUUGUGAUCACUACCCUACACGUGCCACCUUGCAAUCCGUGCACCCAUUCGCACGCUUGGGCAUUACUCGAACGCCCGUCGUGCACGCUCCAAAGGAAAUUAAGCAGUCUCCACGUACUCGUGCUGGGUCGUAUUAUUCUUGCGUCGAGCGCAAGCCUCCCUCGGCUGGAUCCCAUGCAUGCACGUGAGCGCCCCGGGGGGACCUCCCCGUUCUCGUCAUCCGACGGCCGAGAUCGUCCGGCUGGCUAGAGUGAGGUUGACCGACCCGGGUGCCACGUGUUGCUGUUCCAGUGGUUGCCUUAGCUGGUGGGAGUGUUCCUCUUGUCCUGAAUUGCCACGUGGAAUCGAGGAAUCAUUAUACCACUGGUUGUUAGUGAUGGUAGCGGUGGCAGGGGGUGUCUUGCCUCAAACAGGAGACAGCAACCUUGUAAAGUAUGAUGUAGGAAUUGAUGGAACCACCCAAUAACCAGCUAAUUUGAAAACAAAAAUUAUUCAUUAUUUCAUGAAAAAUAAAAAAUAACAAAUAAAAAAAUUAGAGAAUGGAGGGAUAUGGCUGAUAUUUGGCCAGUUAAAUUUCAUAACUUUGCGUUAACCAUUAUUUACCCAGCAACCAAACACCGCCAAGAUAUGUUCUCAUCUGUUUGCAGCUCUAAUUGUAUCGCAUCUGCACUCCAUAUAGAUUUUUUUUUUUUGUAAGCUCUAUGAAUUGCAUCGCAUUUUACAUUCUUAAUAAAAUAUUUUCGUGAGGUUCUCUCUUAGAUUGGCUUAUCAUACUAUUGUCGAGGACUUUAGGAAAUCUUAUCCUAACUUAUUGAUGAAGCAUCUAAAUGUAACUAAAGUAGACUGUACAACUGUAGGGAAGUUAACAUGAAACUAACAGUUCCAAUAAGAUAGGAUUAGAUCGCAAAAGUGUUCACUAGUAUGCUAUCAAACAUUGGAAAGUAAAGGACUAUAUGAAAAAAGCCCUAGUUCUAACCCAAAAGGAGCACUCAUAAAAUUUAAAAAUAUUGCAAAGGUGAGUAAUGGGAUUAGGAGGACGAGGUGUAUGGGGCUGGAAGUGCUACAAGUGGGAUGAGGUUUUGGCGUAUAGCUUUGGAAGAUUAGAUGACAAGAGAUGGGUGUAGUUAUUGUUUUGUAAAUGCACCAAAGCCAUCCUAUCAUCUUGGGAAGAAGAGGGAAGCAAAAUCAGAACGAGAUCCUUGACAAAUAAACAAAUAGAAUAUUGAGAAGAGGCUUAUUUCCGGCUUGUCCUUUGUCCAUUAUGAUAUAGCUACAUAACUUAUCUGCAAGGUGAAGUGGGGAGCUAGCACGCUUCCCAUCCUCCAAGAGAAGGCUCCAAUGGCCUCAUUUUCUUUUAUAUGAGAGACUUUGUCAAUCAAGUUAGGUAGGCUAACUUCAACUUUAACCUUGAUAUGGCACUUAACAAAAAGGUAACCGUUAGUGGCACCAUUAAUUUCUUCCAGUUAUUUGAUUUCUUCGAGGGGUUCUUCCAUGUAUACUUACCGUUGCUCAUGAAAAUUUGCUUGAAUUUGCUCUCUAAUGUCAUCCCUUUGACAAUGGCAUACUGUUUUUUUUUUUGUGAAAAAGAGCAUUUUAAGACUAAGGCUACAGCAAAAGCUCCAUGAACAGAUUUUGCCCACUAUUUUAACAUCAUUCAACAGCUAUGAAGAUAAAAAAAUAAUAAGAGGUUAUUCUGAAAAAUAUUAAUAUAUUACCUUGGUUUGGAAGCUAACAUAAUUUUUAAAAUAGUGCAUCACAACAUUACAUGAUAACAUACUAAAUAUUUUGGAUUUUAAUAUUGUACUACAGAUAGGUUUAUAUGUGACAUGCAAACUUAUUAUAUGAUUUUGGCAUGAUCAUAAUUAUAUUCAUGAUGAUGCGUAUAACAUCCAUUACCUACGUGACAUCACAUAAGUUGAAAAAGGUAAUACAGAUGGCCUAAUGUUGUUUUAGUAUCAUUGUUUGAAGUUGUGAUUAAGAUAAUUAAGAAGACUUGACAUGACUUAAGAAACAAUCCUUUUUUUUGCUCCAUACUUUGGAAAGCAAAUUAAACGCUGAGCUAUGAAAAGCUAUCAAACAUUAAAGCAAGCCAAAAGUAAAUAAACCCUAUAUAACACUAUUUUUUUGACAUGUAAAUUACUGCCACUGGCUAGGGAGAGUGAAAGUCUCUACCAGCUCAAAUGCCAUGUUAAUGUAGACACUGGCUUAUCAAACGUGCAUCUCAAUGCAAAACGCCACAACAUCUGUUUUUACAAAAGCUUGUCCAUUUUUAUUUCACUAUUGGUCAAUUACAUCGAAAAUUUAUAAAGGCUCAUCCAUUUUUAUUUCACUAGCUAGACAAUGAGCUACCCUAGUAUUGUUGAAUGAAGUCUUAGCUUGUUAUAUAUAGCAUCCGAGUACAUCCUUUAAGACUAACCAUAGUGUUUAUAAUUGGAUUUGAUUAUAUUUCGAUCUUCAACUUGUUGUUGCGAGAAUUUAAACAAGCAAAAAAAUCCAUGCCAAUAUGUGUUUGAUUUUAGAUUGAUUAAGUGCUGAAGAAAUAUUGAGUAUUUAUAUGAAACUACAAAAUCUAAAUAGAAUUUUUCAGUGCCUUUUUUUCAUAAUGUAAUUCUGGAUUGUUAAAACACAUAUACUUUCCUACCCCACUAAUCGAUAACAUCGAGUUUGGCAGCUGCAAAUGUUUUUUUUAUAUGUUAUUUAGUCUAAAGAAAAUUUUCGAAAUCUAAAUAUUGGGUUCUAUUCUCAUCAUGGACGUCACGUCUCUAACACAGCCUUUUGGUUUAUUUUACAACAUGACACCAUGCCGGCGCCUCCCAUCCGCGCUCUCCAUGACGCCUCCUCACAAGUUUUUUAUUCUUGCCCCACCCAAACAUCUUAUUAAUAGUGUAAUCAAUCCUAAGCCACUAUUUAAAGAAAAAAAAGAAAAAACCGAUCUAUUGAUGCAUCCCCCCACAAUUAGGAGUAGGUCUUGUGGAUCAAGUCUGGUCUAAACUAAUUUAUCUUUUUUCAAGGUCUAUCCUCACUUCUAAUGACCUUCGACCAAAGAUUACGGUGCUUUGAAGUUCUUAUAUACAUGAUUGAUGGCAUCUAAAAUCUUUCUUUUACCGAACCUCAUUCACGCUACUUUGGAGGCCUGCAACAUAGCAUUAGAGAAUCAAAAUUCACAAUGCUUUUCUUGAUUUGAUUGAUAAAUAACUCAUUUGCUUCAUUUCGUAGACUUGAUCUUAAAGAGGCAGCAAAUCAUGUUCAUAUAAAAACUCAAUUUGUACUAGACAAGGAUUAUCAACACCACUUAAUUUAGGGUUAUUCUGAUUAUUAUAGGGUAGGAAACAUUAGGUCACGUUGAUGAGAACAAAUGAACUCAAAUUUGGAUUAACAAAUUUUGGUUGUUCAUUACUUAUAAAGCUUAUUAAGUAGAUUAUUCUUGUAGUAUGAUUAUAAGCAAAAGAUGCUUAGUUAGAUGAUGAUCAUGCAUGGAGCAAUUCUCAAAUAAACCAUCAAGAUCGGCAAAAUAAAUUAGAAAACAUUGCUUGGUUCUCAAAAGAAAUACACCAACUCUGAGGUGCGUCGAUCAAUGUACAUCCAAUACUAAAAUGAAAUAAACUGGCAUAAUUGUUUAAAAAUACACUGUCAAUAUUGUAUAACUGCCAAAACUCAGCCUCUAGCCAUACACACUGUGCAAAACAGAGAAGAAAAUGAAACAGUUCUCUCUAGUGUUAUGAAAGUAUACUCUAGUAUACCAUUUAUAAAUGAAGGCACUGAAAAUAUUGAAGUGUCCAAGUCUCAAAAAAGGAUUGUGAGAUAGGUGAUCCCCGAGUUACAGUUUCUGACAAAAGCAUGAGCAGGAUUUUCCUUUUCCUUUCUGAAACAUUGGUUAGAGAAGAUCUAAUUAACCACAUCUUAUUAUGUGCUUUGGAUGUCCCCAAUGCAUGGACUAGUCUGUGAACCCUAAGAAAUCUAGUAACAUUGUGAACAUCAUAACCAACAUUAUCUACAUAUAAGGUAUGAUGCAACAAAAGGUUUAGAGCUAACUGGCUUUUAAAAACAAGUUGUUGUCGACACAUUCAAAUCACAUAUCCAUUCCACUGGACAGCAAAAAAUACCUCUACUAAAGUAAAUUUCUAGAUAGGAUUAGGAUAAUGUGGAUGAUAAGGGGAAAAAACUGAUGAGCACUGAUGCACGCAAAUGUGGAGGAUGCUAUUAACUUCAAGAAAAAGAUUUUAAGAUAACAUCUUUUUUCUUAUUAUUAUGAUUUUGAGAACAACAAUUUACGGCUACAGUUCGCUAGCAUAAUAACCAAUUACCUUCGUAUCUACAUUAUAUGGGGAAAAAAAAGUAAAGCUGGUAUUAUAAAGCUCACGACAUCAUUCAAUAAAGACAAUAAGUUAACAAAAUACACCAAUUUGUGAAAUUUAGUAGAAUGCAAAAUAUUGCAUGAAUUAUGUUUUACAAAUUAUUUUAUUGAUUAUAAUAUGUGAUAUCACAUUUCUGUAUAAAUGUACACAUUGCAUGUACUUCUAUUGCUUCCCCUCUCUUAAUUGUUUCAAUUUUCAAUGAGCAUUACCUAGAAUCUAACUUAUGAAAGCCGCCCUAUGGCACUUUUAACAUUUCCUUAAACUUACAUAUACAUGUGAGUUAGACUGAGAUGCUUAUGAGAGUAUUUGGCUCCAAAUGUUUCUAAAUCAAAAGCAAUGAAGAACUUGUUAAAAUAAGAAUCAGCAUUAUUGAUAUGAUGCAUGACAUUCAAAUUUAUUAGAAAUUAAAAAUCAUGCAAUCUUUUCAGAUUUUUGUAUCCCUAUAUUGAAUGAAAACAAAAUGACUAGUUCGAUAAUAUGAUAUCCAUUUCAAUUUGAUUAAUAGUUUAGAAGCAUCUAAAAUACCCUACAUUUGAUCUAUAUAUUUUCAAAAACUUAGAUCAAGAUCGACAGUUUAGAUCAAUUGCAAAUUAUAUAGUUUAUACUAAUUUAUUUCUCACUAGAAAUAUUGUUAUCCAUUGCUUUUUAUUGGUUUAAUACAUAAGCAAGAGACGUCCAAAAUAAAAAAAAAAUACUUCUGAAAUAUUUUAUAUACAAUAGAUCAUGCUAAUUUUGAAAUAUUAUUUAGUGCUGAAUCUUUCUUAGACUUGUGAUUUACUUGAAGGACAUAUUCUUGAAAAAAUUGAAGACAUUAUGAAUAAUAAAUAGGAAAAGGAAAAAAAAAGAUCCUCCUCUUCAAUCAGUAUAGCUUAGGUCACAUUAUUAAGAUUCUAGAAUGAAUUAUUCAAUGUAGAGUCCUUUGAUUUCUCAACACAAAAUUCCGGUGGGAAACUGAACCAAGCAUUUGAAUAAGGGGAGCAUGAAAACAAACGGCUGCUACCGGCGACAAUUUCUAGAUGGUUGUUGUGUGGACGGCAUUCUUUUUAUCACCUGAGAUGGUCAUUUUCUUUCAGCAUUCAAAGCUGACUUGCACCUUUUUGUCAUUCUCUGAAGAUUAUUAAAGUUUAAAUGUAUAAAAAAACUUACCUUAACUUGCAUAAUCACUGCAAAAUCCAAACUUUUAUGAUGUGAUGUCUACUAAUUGUAUAUUAUAAUCCUGGUGGCCAAAAAUGAGCUGUGUCAUGCUCAUAAAAGAAAACUCAUCUUAAAUAAAAAAUCUUAUCUCUCUAUAACCCUAAUCCUUCUCAUUUAGUCUUUAGGGAAAGUUAAAAACAAGGGGAAUGCAUCUCCAAAAUAUGGAUCAUAAUUGUCACUUUCCUGAUAUUAAUUAUUGCUCCGAACCAAUCAAUUAGGUUUGUUAGGAACAAAACGUAGGGCGAUCAAGCUGGAAAAUGAGCUUGUAAGUGAAAAUAAUGCAAUAUAAACCUAAACUAAGCAUGGGUGUGCUUGUCAAUAUACUAUGAACUACAAUGUAUUUGUAACCUAAGCAAUAUGGCUAUAUAGCUUUAGAUUUUGCAUCGCUAGAGUAAAUGGGUUAACAAGUUAAGAGAGGAAAUACUAUUUUUGUUCUAUUGUUGUGAAGAAUCUCAAUAUCUAGUAAAUAGAAAGUAAAUAUUAUAUAUGUCCUCGUAGACAUAAAUUAUCCCAUUGAUCACUUCUAAAAUAAAAAAAAGUAUAACUCUUAUAUAUUAGAUUAUGAACCUUGUCUCAAAAAGAAAAAAAAAAAGGAUUAUGAGCCUAAAGAAACAAGUUAGUGCUUUUCUGUUCAAUUUUUUCAUGAUAAGCCUAUAAUUUGAAAUUUCAGGUAUCUAACCUAUUUUCCUAAGCUUUUUUUGCGAGGUUUAUUUAUCCGGUUAACAUGUUUUAUCACUUUUGGCAUAUAACACUAUACUACUGCAUAUUUUGUUCAUUGAAAAUUUACAAAAAAAAAAAGAGAGGUAUUGUAUCCAUUCUUCCAAAGGUAAUUCCCAAGCUUAAUCUGAAUCCCGGCUUUCUUUAUAGAAUUUAUGAAGUAUCUAUCUUCUUGCCGCCUCGCACUUAGAAUCUAUCAUGGAGAGAAACUAGUUGUCUGCAGCUAGAUAUAAACUUCUAUACAAGUUCAUAUUUUCAACUUUUAUAAAAGGUAUUAUCGGACUCCCAAAUGCAUUUUGAGUCCACAUAUCUUUAUAUUACAUUCUAUUAUAUGGUUCUCAUUUCCAUUACAGAAGACUCUGAUUGCAUCAGUUCACCGAUGGCAUAAUGAGGCUUUAGAGUAGGAUACAACAUGAUCUUAUAAGUAUACAUCUUACCCUGGCGAAAAAUGCAACACUUACACUUCCCAACUGCAAAAGCUAUUAGAAAAGAAAAAAAAAAUCAUGACAGAAUGCAGAAACUUGAUGCAAAUUUUUCUGGAGGUAAAAAAAGAAGAACCAUAUUUGACAAUACUAGAAUGUAUCUCACGUAGGUUAACGUAUCUUUAAAAAAAAAAUGCUCAUCCUAUAUUGCAAGCCUUUCAAUAUAAGCCUUAGAUUCGAUCCCAGCCAUCGAAUCCAUAUCUGAGCCGAUGUAUCGACGAGCCCCUGGUUUAAAAAACUUUUGACCGUUGGCAUUGGGUUGCACCGAGACCGCAUGUCCCCAGCCUGAGUUCGUUAGGGCAGCUUCUUCGCCCCUCUGACCCUAACUGCCGUCUAAAAUAACGGAAUCCCGUCCCUCAAAUUGCCUUGAGAUAACGUCCGUUACGUGCUACACCACUCAACGGUCGCUCUGAUCCCGUCAAGGGAAACGAUACCCUCACGGCGGAGACGGGAACUAGUUCGUUAAUGCACCGUUUCAUCGGAAGUUGAAAAGGGGAAACGGGAACAUGCAGAUUUUAAGCGGGAAACCAUUUCAUCGUGGGGAAAGGGAGCCAGUUCGGUCAACGGGAUCCGACCGGGGGUGAGAUCGUAAAUUCGAGCAGUAGCACGGGGUAAAAUGGCAAAAUGGGCAGCGAAGUCUCCCUGUGUGUCUCCCUAUAAAUGGCGUUCGGCUGCCUCUUAUCGUCUCUUGGCCCCUUGAGCUCUCUCCCCUCUUCUUCUUCUUCUUCUUCUUCUUCUGCGCCAACGGCGGGCGGGUGAGAGAGAGAGAGAGAUAGAGAGGGAAGGGGGGAAGAGAGCGAUGGAAACGAGGAGCGGCUCGCGAUACCCGAAGCUCCAAUCGGAGGUUAAUGGAGGGGAGGGGGGAUAGGAAGCGGCGGAGAGGCCAAGUCAAGGAAUAUUUAUCCGGGAAGCGGCGGCGAGAAGCGUCGCCGGCGGAGGAGGGAAGUGGUGAUGAAGAGCCCAACUUUUUAAAUCAAUUGCCGGACGAUAUUGUCGUCUGUAUCCUCUGCAAGCUCAGCUCCUCCGCCGCUUGUCCUUCUGACCUAAUCAACGUUCUCUUAAUGUAAUAUUCCUUCUUUUGGUCAUCUUUUUGCUGUGUAUUUUGAUGUAAUCGGUUCGGUUUCGUGGUUUUUGCUUCGCAUUUGGGGUAAAAAUCUGAUCUUUUUGUGGUUUUCUGGGUGAUAGCUGCAAGAGAUUGAACGGAUUAGGUUUGCAUCCCCUGGUUCUCUCGAGGGCGGCGGCGAAAUCACUCGCUGUCCGGGCGAAAAACUGGUCAGAAUCCGCUCACCGGUUCUUAAAACAGUGCGCCGAUGCCGGAAAUCUUGAAGCUUGCUUUAUUCUCGGCAUGGUAGGUUGAGGUUCCCCUGCGCAUCUCUCAACCUCUUAAUCUCGGGUGCUUUUUUCUGGGAAUCGAGGGGACUCGAGGUUUGAUUUUGUUUUUGGUUUGGAAAUGGGGCAGAUCCGAUUCUACUGCCUCCAGAACAGGGGGAGCGGGGCGGCGCUGAUGGCGCGGGCGGCGAUGGGGUCGCACGCGGCGGCGCUCUACUCGCUGGCGGUGAUCCAGUUCAACGGCAGCGGGGGUUCAAAGAACGGCAGAGACCUCCGGGCCGGCGUCGCGCUCUGCGCCCGUGCGGCCUUCCUCGGCCACGUCGACGCCCUUCGCGAGCUCGGCCACUGCCUCCAGGACGGCUACGGCGUCCGCCGUAACGUCGCCGAGGGCCGCCGCUUCCUGGUCCAGGCCAACGCCCGCGAGCUCGCCGCCGUCCUCUCCUCCUCAUCCUGGCCACCGGCGGCGGUGCCGACAGGGUGCUGCCCCCUUCUGAGCGACUUCGGGUGGAGCGUGCCGGCGACGGAGCCGCACCCGGCGAACCGGUUCCUGGUGGAGUGGUUCGGUGCUCGGGGCGGCGUGGCGGGGGACGAGCUGAGGCUGUGUUCGCACGGGGGGUGUGGGCGUCCGGAGACGCGGCGGCACGAGUUCCGGCGGUGCUCGGUGUGCGGGACGGUGAACUACUGCUCCCGUGCGUGCCAAGCUCUGGACUGGAAGCUCGCCCACAAGGUCGACUGCGCCCCCAUGGAACAAUGGCUCCUCGACGGCGCCGCCGCUCCGGCGGCGGCGGUGGGUGGUGGUGACGCUGCGAUGGAGUGAGGGAGGAAAGGUUUCGUGAGGUCGGAAUCAGAGUCGUCAAUUUUCCCCCUUUUUCGUUGUACAGCAGGGAAAAUUAGGAGUAGGUCUCCUCUAUAUUUAUUUAUUUAGAUUCCCAUUUUAGGUGGAGACAUGGUGCCUCUUUUGAGGUAAAAGCUUUUCGGCUCUUCCUAGUUCUAAUUUAAUUUAUGGAAAAAUUGGAUCUGUUUUGAUCACCGGUGGAUUUAGUGUGGAUGGUUCUUAUGAAGUUCCUUCCAUUUUCUUGAAAAAAUAUUUAAAUUUCGCUUGAGAUAUUGGAUGAAGCUACAGGUGCAAAUUUCCUACUUGGAGCAAUUUUUAGUAUGCAGAUUAAACCCGAAAUAUUGGUCAGAUGCUGCUCGCAAGAAUGCUUUUCCUAUCUCCUUUAACUCUCGGUCAUUUUUAUUUUGUGCCUCUCAAUUUAAAAUAUUUUAAUCUAAUCUCUGAAGUUAGUUAAGUGGCUCAAUAUAAUUUUACCAUUCAUUCUGAGUCUUUAGAAUUGUAGACGAAUAGGUGUGGGAGCAAGGGCUUGUAUGAGGCUCGAGACUAUUUUAGAUGGAGAGGAGGGAUGAAAAUAGUGGUAGUUUAGAGAAGAAGAGGUGUUGGAGAAGGAUGAGGUAGGAGAGAUAGACCUCGAGCAUGGCUUGGGAACAUAUUAGAUAGCGAAGAGGAAUGAGGAUAGCGAUGGGGAUUAGAAAGGACAAAAAGGAUGCAUUGGAAGAAGAGCAGAUAGUGGAGUGGAUGGGGUUUGGAUGACAUUUAGUUAGAUAUUAAGGAGGAAUGGAGAGGAGUGAUGAGGAUGAUGAUGGAGUUUAGAGAGGUUCAAUAAUAAUUUUUUUAUUGCACAUUAAUCAAUUAAUUUUAAUGAUGGCCAAACAAAAAUUCCUAUCAUUAGUAUUGAUGCCAUUAAUAUCCGUAUCUACUUAGUGAAUGUAGAACUAAACCUUCGCAGAAAAAUUCUCAUAAGUAAUAUCAAUAUUAGUAAUACCGGCACCAUGCAAUGUGCAAGAUGAUUUUUUCUUCUUUUUUUUAUAUUCUAGAAAUGCUAUAUAACAAGUUAUAAUAAAUAGAAUGCUUCAAUUGCUAAAUUUUUGUUGCAUAUUAACUAAUUAACUUUAAUGAUAGCCGAGCAAAAACUUUCAUCAAAUAUCUAAAGUGAUAUAAUAAUAUCAGUUUAGAUAAGAAUAAUCCUUACUAUGUUGUAGCGAGAUAACAUUCUCAAGGAUAAAUUAUACUUAUAUCAAUUAUACAAGUAUCAACGAUACUUAGUAUUGAUAAUAGCAAGAUCUCCAUUGUAAAUUGCUUAUAAUCACUUAUCAUUAAAGAAAUAGACAAUAUAAUACUUACUUAUAAUAGAUAUCUAUUAAUCAGUGAUUUAAGGGCCUAACUUACUCUUGUAUCAGUUGUAAGAGCCCUACUUAUUAUCAAAAUAAAGAGCUAUGAAAGGAUAUUAUUUAUUCUAUCGUCCACAAGAAAAGUGGAGAGCUCGGCUCAGUAAUUUUUUAUUUUACGUUACUAAAUAUAUUUAGUAAAUCCCAUUCAUAUUUUUUUCUUUCAUAGAAUGUUUCUUUCAUAUACAUAUGACUAUGACAAUUUAUAAAUCUCUAAAUCCAUAGAAUAUUUUCAAUAGAUCACUAAAAAGUUGUUGAUCUUCAUAUGGAUAUAGAUUAUUUUGAUUCAAGUGCUCUUUUCUGAGUGGAGUGUAUGCCCUAAAAAUUGGUUGUAAGCUAACUUGUGUACAAUAUCAAAAAACAUAUAAACCAAAAGACAUAACACAAUACGGAAGUCUAUUCAAUUCACAUACUCAAAAAUUAUUAGAAUACCAACCCUGCGGAGUAUGGCUUUUUUUUAACUAUUUUUGAAAUAUAAUAUAAUAAUAUAGCAAAUUAUAAUAAAUAGAAAGCUUCAAUAGUUUAUUUAUGUUGCAUAUUAAGCAAACUAUACAAUUUCUUUUAGAAAAAAUUGAACAUUGAAAAAAUAUUUAAUUUAAAAAUGAUGCAAAUCAAAAUAAUGGUUGUUAUAGACAUCAAAACUAGCUAUUAUAAAACUAAAUAAUAUGUUAUAAGAGAUCCAUUUAUCAAAAAUAAGAAAUUAUCAAGAGAGAAGGAAUUAAGAUUUAUAAAUUUAUUAAAAUAAAAAAAUAAUGAAUGUGAAUAGUUCAUAUCAAGAGUAACGAGUUUGAUGAACGAGUCUCAUUAUUUUAGAUAUAUUUAUAAUAGACUAUCCAAAAUAAGAACUGUAUUAAUGACAUUAUUAAUAUAGUCCAAAAUAAAGAAUUGCAUUAAAUAAAGACUUUGCUUAUUAUUCAAAAUAAAUAAAUAUAUAUAUUAAUAAUAUUAUUAAUAUGGGUGUGCAUAUGAAUUGAAUAGAGAGCUCAACUUAUAUAUAAUAGAUUACGUAGGUACCGAUUCAACCUUUUAUCAAUUUUAAAUAUGCUAUUUACUUUGGUUUGGAAAUCUUUAUUGCAAUAAACUUGAUGUAUUAAAGCCCGUCACCUAAACAGCGUUUUCCUCUCACAUAUAUUUUGGGGAACAACAUCCUGGACCAUCUUAAAAGGUGAUGCUACUCUCUUGCUUUAAGCUCAUAGUAUUUAACAAUUUUUCCGGCACUUACAGAGGGGCAUAUCAAGCUCAUUCAUUAUACUUUAAUUCUAUUUAGACUUACUCCCCUUGUAGAAAACCCAUCUUUACAAGAGAAACCCUUUGGUCAUGCAACUUGGAAGAAAAAUACCUAAUAAAAACCAAGUAACAAAGUCCAUAUAAAAAGAGUUUGCAACUUUUCCUCUUUUUAUUUUCAUGUAACUUUCCUCAAAGGAAGUGGACUCCCCUAAAUUACUUUGGGGUUAAGUUGAUGGCUGGAGAGCAGGCAGACUACUCAGUAAACAAAUUCAUAUGAUAAUGCUUAUGUGUAGCAAACACUUCCAUAGCUCUCAAGUCAUAUAAUAAUACUUCUCAGUAGUAAUACUUCCAUGAUUCGAUAACAAAAAGGAUAGGAGACAGUAGGUAGUGGGGAGAGUAUCAGGAAUCUAAGGCUCCAAUGGAACAAAAUCUAUUAUAUCCACAAUCUACCCAUUCUUUUUUUUUUUGUAGUAGGUGGUAAAAAAUAAGAACACAAAUUUUUUAAAAAAGUGAAAAGAUGGGAUUUGGUUUCCAGCUAUCAAAAGCUAACCCACCUUCCUUCUCCCUUCCUCUCCUCCUUGUCUUCUUGAGCUGUUCUCCACCCAGCAAGUGGAGGUGUGAUGCUUUUAAGCAGUGGACGCAGAGACUAACGGUGAACUCACCGUACGGUGACGGGAUGUGCGGUUGAAAGAUGGCGUCCCCAAGAUUCGAUCCCACCCACUUCCAACGGACCGUCCUUAGUCUCUAACCAGCCUCUUAAUUUGUUGAUUUUUUUGGAUGGUCGGUGACAUGACUCCACAUGUGUCAUG
rnacentral:lncRNA from 1 species